AAUAUGGAAGUGAAUGCGAGGCAUGAAAGUAUUAGGAGUGCGUCUUUUUUCAAAGAAAACUAAAUGCACACUAUAUCUCUGUUUUUGGAAUCUUUUUUGCCUAACUAUAUUUUUUGCUUUGAUCUGAUGAACUUGGUGUUUAAUACUGAACGGAGUGUAUACAGUUCAGAUUCCGCCUUUUUUUUUUUAAUGCAUUUAUGCAGGAAAGCUAAUAACUUAGCAUUGAUCUUAUUUGAUGCUGUAGUUUGUGAUCCAGUCAUGGGAGAUGAAGGAAAGCUAUAUGUUCCACAAGAGUUGGUAUCUGUGCAUCGAGAAAAGGUGAGCCUCAGACCACUUGAUCUACAUUUUACGGCACAUUACCAUCGUUUUCUAGCAUUUUAUAAAUUUGUUUUAUGUCCUGUAGUUUAUUCAGAGAUAAUGGCUUGGAGUCAUGUUUAAUACUCUUUGUUCUUAAUUUUCUUUAUAUGAUGUUAUAUUUUUGACAAGUCUGUGAUGUUUGAUCUACAUGUUUAAUAUUUUUUUCCUUUUUCGUUUUUGUUAAUUAAUGUAAGGUCGUUCCUGUUGCUUCUAUGCUUACUCCAAAUCAAUUUGAAGCUGAACUACUGAUUGGAUUGAGGUAGGUAUGCGUUUAGUUUGAAGAAUAACAUUUAUUUUACAUUGGCAUCAGGAGCAUCUGACCAGAGUCCAUAUAAUACUAUUUAUAUCUAAUUUUUUUUCUUUAGGAGCGUCUGAUCACUUUGUAAUCAUAUUUAUGUACGAAAAUGCUUCACAGGUUGUUGUUAGAAGAGUCAUAUCCUGGUGUGCUACUUUUUGAUUUUUGAACCCGGAAUUGUAUUUAAUAUAUUGUGAUUUAGUAUAGGAUUAAAAGAGUUAGUUAUUUUGUUAAGUUUAACUAAAAUCACUGUUUGUGGAGGAAUUAUGUAUAGCUUCAAUGUAGUAGAAUUUUGAUGCUUGCAAUUUGAUAAUAAUUACUUGAUUGCUAUUGUCAUGACUCUAUAUUGACAUCUUCAUGUUUUAUUAGAGUAGUUGCAUCUGGUUUGUAGGUCUGUUGCAUCCAACAUGCAAAUAUGAAUCAUGUUAAAUCUGAGCUAAUUCUACUCAUAUGACAGUUACUUCAUUGAAUCUUAUUAUAUAGUUGCUAGUUCAAUUUGCCAUCCUAGAUAUCUAGUACUAAGAUUACUGGUCAUUUUCUAUUCAAUCGAUUAUUUGGUAACAUGUAUCAAAACUAGUUGUAAAUUCAUGCCAUUACUUAUCUGGAUUGGCUGAUAACUAUGAAAAUGCCGCUUUGGUAUGGUAAUGAGAACUCAUAUCCUUGCUUACUAACCGUAGCUUCGUAUUUACCAUCCUUAUUAUCCAACUAAAGACGUUAACCCAUUUAAUUUCAUGUUUUCGCUGAAGGAUAAACACUAAGAGCUGAAUGAUAGCUCAACAUAAGCAAGGGAGGUUCCAAAUGUUAUGAACUUUAUGAGCUGAAUGAUAGCUCCGAUUCUCGACCCGGCGAUCCCCAUAUCUCCCUUGCUAUCGCCCAUGACCUACUCGGCCCCGCGAGGACGAUCCUCGACGAUCCGAUCCGAGCCCUCAGCGGUGCCGCUUCUCGAUUCCUCUUCUCAAUUUGGUGCUCCGAUCCAUUGGUAAGAGUUCUCAAUCUCAAAUCAUUAGUUUCGUACUCGAAUCCUCAGUUAUCUCAAAUCAUUAGUUGUAGGAAUGAUUAGACGAUUUAGAUGUUUCAUACUUUCUUAUCCUUUAUUUAUUUGCAAAUUUGGACUUAUUCAGAAAUCUGCAUUGGUUUAGAAAUCCUACUAUAUCUGCAUGUCUAUUUUGUUUUUUCUUGGGAUUUCAUUAAAUUCUUUUAAAUAAGGUAAAUGCUUAUGGGGUUGUGGGCUUAGAGCUUAGGGUUUAGGAUAUUUGGGUCGUAUUAUAAAUGCUUUAGCUACACCUAUUGAUGGGAGGGGAAAUUUCAGCUUCUAAAUCUUGGUUAAUGCCCCCUCAAAUAGGGCUUAUUGCUAUUGAUUCUAUAUACGUAGAUGAAUAAAUAUGUAUCAUACUCUAGACUAUUAACGAAUAUCUAUCCCGAUCCUUCUCUAUUAAUUAUUGGUUUACACACCAUUUGUCUUUCCGCCAGCGGCUUAUGUAGUGGUCAGCCAAAGCCUCACAGCAUCUAGUAGUCUUGCCCCGACUUGAUACCCUAGCAUCUAAAUAGGGGCUCUUCCUUAAUUUACUUGUGCUUGGAUAAUGAAGGAGCAUAUAUGAGCAUGAAUCUUUUUACUACACUAAAAAAAAAGAUGUAGGUUAUGCUGCUUUAACUUUGUUCUUUUGUAUCUUGAUACAUUUUCUUUUCAGUAGCUUUUCUACCUUUGUUUAAUGAUCUUAAUCUUUUUUUUUUUUUGUUUAAUGCAUUUCGUAGUGCAGAUACCAAUUUUCACUUUGUUGGGUGGCAAACUUUUACUGAACUCUUAAUUCAACUUCGGUCGCACUUUGUUGGGUGGCAAACUUUUACUGAACUCUUAAUUCAACUUAGGUCGCACUGUCUAUAUAUUUUAUUAGGUAACUUCAUAAUUUUUUGAAUCAAGUCUAGAUUUAGCCUAUAGCCUGAAAUCUUUUUUGCUGUUCUCAUAUUCAUUUUCAGAUGUGCUUGUCUACUUAAUUAAAGUGCUAUUAUUACAAAAUGAAAAGAAAAGAUAGACCAAAUCAGUACAACCUAACUUUUAUAUUUUUCAGAAAUUUGAUAUGAUGAUUUUUAUUUGGUAAUUUCGGACACUGAUUUUAUGACUUUUUUUUUGUUGAUCCAGAACAGCUGGAGCUGCGGAAAUUGAAGUGGGAAGCAAGAAUUUCAAACAUGCGGUGUUUGUUAUUUUUUAGCUACAUUUUGAACAAGUAUUUUUUGUUAGAACUUAUGUUUGAAAUUUAAUUUGAAUACUGAGAUUGUAAUUUGAGAGUUGAGACUAUUUGUUAUACAAAUUAUUAAUGCUUUUUGGUUACUAAUAUUUUUUAAUAUUUCAAUUCAUUGUAGUAUUUAGUUGUUAAUCAAGUAUUUUAAUAUUAAUUUAAUUGCCGCUAUAAGCUUUAUUAAUCAAUCAUUUAGUAUGUUUUUUGCGGCAAUUAUAAUUAAUUGUAGCGGCAUUUAUAAUAGUUGUUAUUGUAUAUUAUUUAGCGGCAUUUAUAAUAGUUGUUAUUGCAUACUAUUUAGCGGCAUUUAUAAUAGUCGUUAUUGUAUAAUAUUUAGCGGCAUUUAUUUGGAUUUUUACCAACCGCCGGAAUAAAUGCCGCUAAAACUUUUAGCGACCCUGCCAAUAGCGGCAAUUGUUAAAAUUGCCACAAAAUAUUUUAGCGGCAAUUGUAAUUGCCGCUAAUUUAAAAAAUAAUCGCCGCUAAAAUAUAAUUUUGUUGUAGUGUGACUAUUGCUAGAUGCUUAAAUAAGUGUUGCUAAAUUAGCAAGACUUUUGUAGGUUAUAGCGACACUCUUUAACUGUCACUAUAUACCUAGCGACCCCACAUAUAGCAACACUUUUUAAAAGUGUUGGUAAUUUAGCCAGCAACACUUUUUUUUACCUAUACCGAUAUUUAAAAGUGUCGCUAUAGACCGUUUUUGUUGUAGUGUCAUGAGCAUAUUAACAACUAACACAAACAUAUGCAUAGAAGUGCUUAAGCAGUUAAUUAGAAAUGUCAGUAGAUGACUGAAACAUAUGCAUCGAUAAGCUUACCAAUUAAUUGUUUAUUUAGUUUCUCAUAUCCACAAACAAGACAUACUAAUUAGUUGUCGGAAAAGAAGCUAUGAAAAGGAAAUAUUGUUUGAGUGAUCAAAAGUAUAUGUGAGAGUUCCAAAAGUUAAUGUUUAAUGCACAGAAAAUGUGCAGUGGCUCUGCGAUGUAGUUGAACGUUAAAUCAUGCAUGGUGGUACUUCGCAGCAACGUAGGGGCACUUCGAAGGGGUAAGAGAAUAUGUAGAUGCUAUCGUUUUAAAGAGGCGAUAAGGUUCGUUUGAUUAUCCAACCGUUUUACGUGCAUGCAUGCGUGCGUGCGUGAGUAUUGACGAAGGAUCUAGUAAAAUGUGUCGAUCAGCAAGGGAUUCAUUGUACGUUCCACACCACGACCUUUCCAAUCAAAUUAUUACAGCUCCAACAAACUAAUCUGACAUGUUAACGUUCAUAAACUAUUUUUUAUCAAAUUGAUCUUUUAACUCUGCAUCACUCGAUUGGUUUUAGAGGUGUUGAGGUUGUAUUCAAACACCUUCAAAGUGUUUUAAUAUGAGCGUAUCGAGCAAUUUGAUUUAGGACUAGCCAUUGCUAGAAACAGAAAAAAAAUUGUUUGUCCUUUGUUUUGUUAUGGUAUCUCUUUUAUAAGUACAAUAUUGAUAUGAUAUUUAUAAUUUAACUAAUUUAAAAAUUGCAUGCUAAGCUAUAAGUAGGUAAAUCAUUUCUAGUACUACGUGAUCGAGCUAAUAAAUAUAUAUACAAUAAAGAAGAUGUGAUUAUUGAGGCAAUUGAAUUGAAAUAGUUAGUUUUUAUGAUUGAAUAAUAAUAAGUUGAGAUGGUUAGUUGUUGCACUCAACAUCAUGCAUGGGCUUUACGUCGUCGUUUUACGUGCCACACGGUUCCAUCUAAAAUUGCGUGCACAUUUUAUUUUUAAUUUUAUUCUUUACCUUUUUUUUUUUUUUACUGUAGUAACUUCUCUCAAAAAAUACAAAAAAAAAACAGAGAGGAAAACUUAGCUAAUAUUUUUGUACACUACCCUACGUCACCCGUUUACAGGUUGGCCCCGUCUACAUGAUAGCCUCAUCGCGUACGUAAUUUGAGCCACACAUAGUUCACUAUAAAAUGAAAAAAUUAAAGGGAAUUUUAAAAAAAAAAAUUCAUUGACCAUAAGUUUUAAUUUAAUUGACACGCGUCGCUAGCUAGUUUGAAGGUUAAAUUUGACAUUUUUUUAUUAGAAUAUUUGAGCGCGAUAUAAAGAUUGUUGGCUUAAAUAAACCAGCAUUUUGUUCUGUGCAGGGAGGCUAAGUAGACUGAGUCACGUUCGAAAUGGCGCGAGGUUGGGUUGGACGAAGUCAUGUUUGAAGUGGCGUAAGUUUAGGGGGACCGAGCCAUAAUCGAGACUCGUAGGCGUUGUAUCUAUACGCUUUAAUUAAGUGAAUUAGUUGCAUAGCUCGAGCUUUUGGGAUUAACGAUUAGCGCCAACGAUCCGACAUCUUUUGGGAUUAACGAUUAGCGCCAACGAUCCGACAAAGAUGUCUGCGGUUGAUGAUUCAAUUGAAUAGCGUGACGGCUAAAAAGUUAAAGUAAAAAUAAAUUUGGAAGAAAAAAACAUAUUUGCUUAUUUAUAAGGUUUAAUUAGUCAUUAAUUAGAUGUAAGAAGACACAUGCAUUUUUAUAUUAAUCCAAAAGAAGGAAUAAAUUUGCAUAUUUUAAGUAUUUCGAGGAAUAGGUAUGAUAUAUUUAAAUUUGCAGGGAUAAAUUGAUAUAAACAAAUUUCUUUUAGAGAGCUUUUGUGAGCACAUAAAAAUAUUAGUGAUUUGGAAGUAAUUGCUUGCGCUGAUGCAUUUGUGAGUUUAUUCAUCUUAAUUUCAUCCACUCAUCAUUGAUCCCAUCUAAUAUUGUCAAAUUCAAAAUAUCCAUUGCAACAUCCAAUAUAUGAAUAAAUGUGCAAGCAUCGAUAUAUAUAUAUAUAUAUAUAUUGUUUAACUAAUAUUUAGCGAAAAACAUAAUUAGCGACCAUAAUAUUAUUGAAAAAAUUAUGACCUAAAACUAGCUAAAAAAAUAUUUUUUCAAUCAAAAUGUCUUUUUUAGAGAUAUUUUUGGGUAAACCAAAUAUUUUUAGUAAUGUUUUUUGCAUAAAAUACGGAGAAUCGUUUUUUAUGAAAAAGAGUUUUUGAAUAAAAAAUAAUUUUAUAGGAUAUGAUGCUUGGUUCAUAGAAAAAGAAAAUCAGUUUCCAUACCAUAUUUAUUUACCUUGUCCCGAAAAAUAGAAAAAAUAAUAUAUAUAUAUAUAUAUAUAUAUAUAUAUAUAUAUAUAUAUAUAUAUAUAUAUAUAUAUAUAUAUAUAUAUAUAUAUGAGUUAUUUAGAUAAAUUAUUUAGUUUAUUUUAUCUAAACAUAUUAUUUAAGUAUUAUAGGAUAAAUAAUAACAAGAAAUCAAAUAUAUUUUAAAAUAAUAUGAGAUUAUAAGUAGAGAUUAUAAGUAUGCAAUUAUAUGUAGAGAGCAAUUACUCUGUUUUUUUAUUAUCUAAUAAUAAAAUAAUAUAUAAUAUAUUAUUUAUACAAUGUAGUUUAUGCAUUCGGUCAAUGAGGUUAUACUACUUUAAGCUCAUGGACCACGUCAAAAUUCCUAAUGUGGACUUGGGACGCGGCUAUUUUUCUUUUCUCUUUCAUAAAGAGAAAGAUAGCAUGCAUGCCAUUUAUUUCGUUUAAGUCCUUAAACUUUUAUACUGUAAUUUUUGAGGGGAGAAAUAUUUAUUUUUUAUUUUUUUUGGGUAGAAAAUGAAAACUCUUUCUUUUCAAAAUAUCUGUAAGGUUAUUUUAGAGGGAAAAUUUUUUAUUGGCAAUCAAAUCAAAUGAUUGAAAAAUUAUUUUUUCUAGUCAAAAAUUAUUUUGGGCUCACUUUUACACUUCCCUAGUUCAACACAAGUGGAUAUUCAACCUUCAACCACCGGAGGUUGAUCCACAGCUUGACGAACAUCGAAUCGGUCUAAACCGAAGUACGUACUAAAUUUCAGCCCAGCUCUGACCAAUGUUUGUUCAUUGUGGUGCAAUUUCAGUCCCAAUGGGGCGAAGAACUUUUCGGGCUUUUUACUCUUUUAGCCCCAAUUUGGAAAGGGUGAAUCUUGGGCCAAAGCCUAUAUAACUAGGCGCAGCCCACUCCCAUCCUAGCAUAUACAGGCUCAAAGCGUAUUUGGAUGCACGAGUAUUUUGUUCAGUGUAUCUCUUUAUUUAAUAAAGAAAUAAUCGGUAGAAAGAUAAUCACUACAUAAACAAGAGCUAAAAGAUGAAGAUAUUUCGCAGAAAUUUGGACUCGUACCCACACAAAAUCAAGCAUCAACCAAAUACAAACUAGCAUGCGUAUCAACUAAUGAUCCAUCAUAUGCUGCAGAAAGAUUUAGAUGUCCAAGUCUAAGUCUCAGGCAAACAAGAGCUGUAAAAGAUCCAAAGCGCAGGAGAAUUUGAGUAUAGGGUACAUAAUGUCGCUUACAUACGCGAUGAGUGGAAACAAGAGAUAUUUCAAUAACAAUUAAGAAGCUAAAAGAGUAAAUGGUCUCACCAAAUUCAAAUUUCACUAUUACUCGACACCCUUCCACGAUUUGGAGAUGAAUAGCAUCCUUAUAGACCAAGAAAAGUUUGAGAGGCCACUUCAACUUUCAAAACUGCACAUAAUCCAGAAAUGCAUAUGAACUAUAUUCAGAGCUAAUGGCCACAACAAAAGACUACCAACUGAAUUUGCUAAUCUGAAAUAUUUCAUGCGGAAUAGUGUUUGGAAAUGUGAAUCAACUAGGAUUCGAACUUGGGUCUCGGGUACCAACCACCAAGUCCUUUGCCACUUGCUCUAGGGACAGUCGGUUUUCAUGCGGAAUAGUUGAUUAACGAAAACAGGCAGAUAAAAAGGAACAAAAUUCAUGUGAACAGCAAGAAGAAUGCAGAGUUCUUCUAAAUGAUCAGAGAGGAUGGGACAGCAUAACGAUUGGAAAGAAAAUGAACAAAAAGCUAAACCAGAUAUCAAAUUACAAUUACCUCAGCGCUAUUAACGGUCACCAAAGCAAUCUCAUGGACAUAAUUGCUUCUUACGAAGUAAACAUAAUACUGAGGUACGAUGUUCGACAGUUAUAAAAUUGCACUGUAGGAUCUUCAUUUCACGAGUAAUACCCGAAUCAUACACUGCAAUAACAGGUUUUCACACUGACCCCACAGACAAGUGCUGUAUUGUGUUAUGCAACUUUAAACACUCUCCUUUUGGAAUUCAAACCAGCAGAAAUGCUGAGAAAACAAAAAAUACUGUUAAUAUUAAGAAUGGCAAAUUACUUUAGCUGCCUGAAAAUAAUUUGUGUUAAGAAUGGCAGUUGGUAGUCAAUACAUUUAAAGUGAUUUGUCCAAAAACAAAUACAUCAUAAUUGCCUGAAAAAUACAGUUAAAGUAAAUUGAACAAACUUUGUCAUUAUUUCAGUCAAAUAAAUUUUCUUAAUAAUCUUCAAUCAACUGAAAGUCAAAUAGCUUGAAUAAUCCUAAAUAUAUCCGAGCACUGAAAGAAAGAGGGACAUUUGAGCCAUUUGCAUUUAAUUGAAACAAUUACAAAGUUCAUAAAGUUUAUUUUAAUGUUUCAAAGUUCGGGCAGUGAUAUAUGCAAUCAAGCAAAAUGUUCAGGGGAGCUAAUCAAGUACUCACAUGCUUCAUAUUCAUCCUUCUAAUCAAACAUCAAUUAAUGGAUUAUAGAAAACAAUUCCAGAUCAAACCCGAUCCUCAAAAUUACAUAUAGCACGAUUCAUCAAGCUUAUAAAACGGGAUUUUGAUUCAAACGAAAAGCAAAGCAAACACCAUGCACUUCAGUUAUAUAAUACCAGGCCCAAAUCACCAAAUCUAUGCUUUUAAAAAAAAAAAAAAAACACGGAGAGUAGGAGCCCGCACAGAUCAACAUCGCAUGGAGGCGAAGGGAUCCCCAAAAUUACACAUAGCACGAUUCAUCAAACUUAUAUAUAUAUAUAUAUAUAUUAUAUGAUCCAAUAUUUGAGGACUUUUUACCGACCGUUCCUAACGCAAGCGGCAAAGGGCUUGGUUGGUACCUGAGGUCCUAAGUUCGAAUCCUAAUUGAUUCACAUUUUCAGUUAAGUUUAUUUAUAAAAGAAAUAAAUAAACCGGAUAGCAUGUUACCUAUUUCUUAAAUUAAAAAAAUUUGAGGUCUUUUUCUCUUUGGCCCCAUAAAUAUUUGUGCUAUAUUUAUCUAAGUAAAAAUGCUCUACAAGGAUAAGAAUCUCGUCCCAUUGGACGAGAUAAUUCACUAAUCCAAUGAGAAUCAAGGCUAUUCACGAAAUUUUCCAAACACUUACAUUGUUUUGCCUAGCACGAUAUUUAAAGUUCACCGCAUUAAUUUUUGGUGCUCGUGCACCAAUGUGAAAGGGACCGUGGGCUCCACGUGUCCACGUGACACAUGGCCCACAAGAUCUUCUGCUUCAAUAAAUUCUACCUUAAAUUUUGGGCUCUCAUGUCCAUAUUACUGUUACGUGGUCCACAAUAUGGAUUUAAGCUUAUAAUUUAUUUAUUUUAUUUUCUUUGAUAUUAAUAUAUAAUUCUAGGCUCUCCACAUGACUCAUUUCAGUAUUCAUCCGUAACAGAAUAAAUUUAGAUAACUCAAUAUGGACGGUUCGAAUUGAUACUGCUAUGAGCAGUAGGGCUGGCAAAUGAGCGAGCCGGCUCGCGUUCGACUCGCGUUCGACUCGAUAUUUGGNGGGAGAGGUCGUACGGAUCAACAUCGCGGCGAUGGCGGAGGGAUCGGGGGAGGAGAUUUAGGCACCCUUGGCGGCGGCGGCGGCGGAGGGAUCGGAGGAGGAGGAGGAGGGGGGAGAAGGGGCGCGGAGUGGGGCGACGAGGGAGGCGUCGGGGUCGAAGUUAGGGUUGAGGGAGCGGUCGAUUGCGUCGCGGCCCUUGUCGAGGCAGGGCUUGCACGCGAUCUCGAUGGUGAUCCACCCCAGGAUCACCGCCGCGAUCGCCACCACCGCGGUCACGAUGGCCCCCAUACCAAUCGACGGUCCAGAUCCCUCGAUCUCGAUCACGAUCACGAUCACGAUCACGAUCACGAUCACGAGGAGGCCCCCCUCUCUCUCUCUCGUUUCUCGCUCUAGCUCUAUUGGUUUAUCAGUGUUCGAGGAGAUCUGCGCCGCUGCGCGGGACACGGGGAAGCGCUUUGCCGUCCGAGGAGAAAGACGAACUAUUGCCUGGACCCGGUUCACCAUGUCAUCCGCGGACAAUUAUAAUUGUGGAAAUUCAUAUUCCGGACUACAUGAUCUCAGAACUUUUUUUUCCAAAAAAAAGAUGAUAAUAUUUCUCCCGAAGUUGGAUUCCCACAUGGAUCUAUCUCGAAUGAAAUAGGGACUGAAAAGUAUUUCUCCUUAUUAAGAAUGGAGUGGUGUUGAUACAUCUUAUAAAAUUUUCCAUCCUAACUUUAGUAUAUAUAUUAUGAUAUAUAUUUUUAACUAUAAAAAUAUACAGAAUUUAUCGUAAAGCUACCAUACUAUCAAAUGUAUAGAGAAUCUAAUGCUUUCGAUUUUUUAGCCAUUAAAUCAGCCUCAUUAAUCAUUUCUAAUCUUUGGAUUAAUACUAUUAUUCUGUGAAGACCAUUCAAUCCUACCGAUACUACUCAAUCCUAAGGGGGACCAUAAUCAUCUCAAACGUACAAUUCUUAAUCCAAGAGUGAAAAAUUCGAAAGUAUCAAAUUCUUUAUACUUUCGAUAGCGUAGUAGCUCUAUAUCAGAAUCUACCUAAACUAUGGAUCGAGCUACACAGUCUUUCAAAAUUAUAAUUUUAAUAUCAAACCUAUCAAUUUAUUUAAUUUGAAUCAGUCAACAUCACUUGAACUUUACAAGUCUAGUUAGUAUAUAUUUUUUUUAGUUCUCGCAAUCAUAAAUUUAUUAAAAUAAAUAAUAAGUUUAAAAUUUUAAGUUAAUGAUGACGGACUCAAAUCAAAUAAAUUAAAAUAUUGGAUAGUAAAAUCAUAUUAUUUAGAUGAUUUAUAGAAUAGAGCUACUAUACUUUUAAAAGUAUAAGAGAGUUUGUGCUUCCAACUAUUUAGCUUUUGAUCAACCCUUUUGACCAUUUUUGGCAUUUGAAUUAAUAUUAUUAUUUUAGAGGACCAUUCAACUCUAAGAAAAACUACUAUCAUUUCAAUCAUAUAAUUCUUAGUCCAAAGGUCAAGAAGUCAAAAAUACUAACUUCAUUAUACUUUCGAUAGUACAGUAACUCUCCAUAUGAUUUAUAUUUUAACACAUACGUAAAAAAAAAAAAAAAAAAAAAAAAAAACUGAACUGAACAAAAAAAAAAGGUGCGGCUCAUGGCGACGUGGUAAACUAAACCCAGGAAAUAUUUUCUGCAGGGCUGACACGUGGACCUGACAUGUGGGCCCCAAGUGUCUGUCUCGUAAAAGCGUCUCCUCUUCCCCCUCUUCGCCCCCCUCCCGUUAGAGAGAAAAAGUAAAGAGCGAGCGAGAGAGAGAGAGAGAGAGAGAGAGAGAGAGUCUCACACAAGUACCUUAAACCCAAUCCAAACCCUCCUCCCCCAAAACCCCUACCUUUCGCCAUGCCACUACCUCUCCUCGGGCGAUCAUGGCGAUCGCCCCUAUUCUCCUCACCCGUGCGAACCCUAGCAUUCUCCCUCGUCCAUCGAUCGACCUACGUCGACGUCGCCAUGAAGUGGAAGAAGGACCCCUUCUACGACUCCAUCGGCGUCCUCGCUCGCUCCAGGGAUCUCAAGCCCCUCGUCUCCCUCAAAAGCAUCAUCGCCCGCGCCCCCUCCGACGCCGGGAUCCCCGUCUCCGCCGUCUCCAAGCGCGGCCGCGCCCUCGAGACCUCCGGCCGCCGCGUCGCCUCCUUCCUCCGCCGCUACCCCGCCGUGUUCGACGAGUACACCGGCCCCAACUACAACCUCCCCUGGUUCAGGCUCACCCGAGAAGCCGUCGACCUCGACCGCGAGGAGCGCGCCGUCUAUGACGCCCGAAAGCCCGAGAUCGUCGACCGGCUCCGGAGAUUGAUCCUCAUGUCGAGGGAUCGCCAAUUGCCGUUCAGAAUUGUGCAGGGGAUGCUGUGGUAUUUGGGCUUGCCCGAAGAUUUCCUCGAAGACCCCAACAACAUCUCUAAUGGCAGCUUCGGGGUAGUCGAAAUCGGAGACGGGGAGAAAGGAUUGAGCGUUGUCGGUGGUGGAGAUGAGCCAGUGUUUUCGGCGCUCCAGCGGAACGCACUGAGGCAAUUUGGCGGUUCUGCGGAUUCGCCUCCUAAGGAAGUUGCUUUCCCACUAUUCCCCUCUAAAGGCCUCCGGUUGAAGAGAAAGAUCGCGCAUUGGUUGGACGAAUUCCAGAAGCUUCCGUACGUCUCUCCGUAUGAGGAUUUUUCUCAUUUGGAUCCGAGCAGUGAUAUCUCGGAGAAGCGGGCGGCGGGAGUUCUUCACGAACUUCUUAGUUUGUUUGUCGAUAAUUCGGCGGAGAGGCGGCGGCUUCUCUGCCUCAGGAAGCACUUGGGGCUGUCGCAGAAGUUCCACAAGGUGUUCGAGCGGCAUCCCCAUGUGUUCUACCUGCUAUUGAAGAGCAAGACCUGCUUUGUUGUUCUAAAAGAAGCUUAUUUUGCCGGUUCGGACACCGCAUUGGAGAAGCACCCGAUGCUUGCGAUAAGGAAGAAGUAUGUUAAGCUGAUGGAUAAAUCGGACGCUAUUCUGAGAAGCCGUCGGAGUAGGAAACCUGUGGAAGAUGCUGCCGAGGGAAGUUAAGUUGCUGCUAUUGAUUCGAUGGAGGAUUCUGAUGGGUUUAGCAGAGGACCAUUAGAACUUGAGCGGAAGUCGGAAGAUUGGAGACAUGUUUGAAGCUGAAAUUGGCAGACUGCUUGGGGUUUGUUGAAUAGUUGAGAAGAAAUUCAUCAUUGUGCACAGAGAAGCUGGAAAGAUACAGGCAUUCACUUGAAUUGUGUUAAGAGGAGGCUAACUCGAGUUUCCGUGGCCAAUUUUGGUGCCAUAUAGUAAAGUCGCCGUAAUAUGCAGCAGACCAUUUGAAUUGCCACCUUGAGAUUGUGCAAGUCCGGUUAUAAAGGUAAAAAAGUUUCCUAUUUAGUUAAAGACCUGGCGAAAACCUUGUUAUAUCAACCGUACAUUCUGUCUACUGAUCUUUACCGUCAAAUUGAGCUAAGAACAAAGAGAUGGAAUUUUGAUUACUGUUUCGUGAUUUGCUAUUUGGAACUGAGAACUCCCUUUAGUAUGAUCGAAGUUUGCUUCUUCAACCUUGUUCAGCAAGUAGUAAAUGCCAAUCUAAAACUAGGAGCACAAUUUUCAUGUUAUUCUGAAGUUUGUUUCUCAGAAAUAGAGCUAAAAGCAAAAGUUGGUGAUUUAUUUGACAUCUACCUCUACCAAUAUCUGAGGAAUGACUGAAAUCUUCUGGAAAAGAGGUACCAUGCAGACUCCAAUUGUAAUGUGUGGUUUUAGCAAAAUAGCACAUAGCAUUGAUGUCUUAGCCGAGAUUGGUAAUUUCUUACUCAUGCUGAUUUUCUGCUUCCAUUUAACUAUGUCUGAUGUAAUUCUGUCGGACUCAAGAUUAGUUUCUUGUGCUGUUAGUUUUUUAGGUCUUAAUUGCGCGCUCUUGAUGGGCCAACCUGAUCCAAUAAGUUGAGCAGUUCUUGGUGAUUCUUGGUACUGCCGACAACUGCAGCAAGGAGUUAAAAGAAACACCUUUUGAAGAAGAACAGUGAAGAGGAAAAUUCUGGGAAUUGAUCUUCUUCUGUUCUCUCUCCCAUUAACACUGCUUACACAAAAGCAAAAGAACUCCCUCUCUCUUUGAUCAAGGUGAUUUGGCAUUUAAGUUGUGGAAGAACUGAAAAGUGUGUGCGCUUUCCAAUUUGCGAUCGCACAUUUGACUUGCUUGUGAUUCUAUAUUUGGUGGCUCGAAGAAUGUCUUAUUCUUCACGCUUCUAAGGCUAGUUCAUUCAUAUCCGUAAUUGUUAUCAUUCGACAUGUACAAAAUGGUGUACUUCUAGCGAAUAAAUUUUGGGAAAUCUUACACUUUGCGGCCCAUGUGUGAAAGAUUUCGAUGAAGUAAAUGAGGGAUUUAACAUUAGAUUUAUGUGCCCAUGAUCCUGGAACUAAGCUGCAUUUAUUAUCCAUUUACUUAAUCAUGCAUUAUCUUCUCAUUAUUAUCUUCCUGUGUCUAGGACCCUGCAUUAUCCAUUGUGUUGGGGAAAUUUAUCUAAUGAAGAAAUUAUUCUCAAGUUGCAGCACUAAAGAACAGAGUACUCGCGCAGAAUUUUUUAUUUUUAAUUUUGAGUCCCUCUAUUUGCUGAUUUUGUGUGGUUGGAGAAGGUUGCAAUAGAUUUUCAGAUAAUUAUUUCAGGUUGAUGAUCAUACAUCCAAAUAUCUCAAUCCCUUUUCCAAGUAUAAGGUUUGGUAUGGAGUUGAUUUCAGGUUGCAGAAGCUUUACUACCAAAGUUUUUAUUUGAGCUGCUUCCUCAAUGUGUAGCUUGUACUUUUUAGAGGAGACGCUAGUAAACUGUGCGCUUAUUUGGCGUGGUCUAAAUUGCACUCUAGGUCCUCCAUGUAUGAAGCGUGGCAUUUUUGGAUUUUAUACUUUAAUUUGUUAUAAGUUUUUGCUUUAAUUUUUAAAAGAUAGUGAUGUGGCAUUUUUUAAUAUUAUUGUAUUAUCAAUCAGAAUACUGUUAUAUUACUGCGACAUAUUUAUUAGUUAGUCAAUAAAAUUAGGUUUUGAUUGCAAUAACUUGAAUGUUUGAAUCAUACAUUAUUACAACAAAUUAAAGUUUAAAGAAUAAAAUAUUAUUCCCUGCAUAGUCUGAGGACCCAAAGUGUAAUUUAGCCUAAUAAAAUAUUUUUAAUUUUCAACCCAAAAGAAAAAAAAUUGGUGGGAAAAAUUGAAUUGAGUUUCCAUGCCACAACAUUAGACUGUCCGAAUCUACCGUUACUACAGCAGGAAACUAUCGAAGAAGAGAACAUACUGCUUCUUUGAACAGCAUGAUUUACUAACAUUUACAGUAAGAAACUUUUGAUCACUUUUUGAUUCUACUUUCAAUUACCGUCGCCAUAAUAGAUCUUCCGUUGAAGCAAAAAAGUCUAAAAUUUCUUUUACAGCGAAAAAUAAAACUAGAUUUUGGUGUUCAAAACAAAAAAAAAAAAAUAUUUUUGAAUAGUAAUGGUCAAAUAAUAUUUUAUCAAAUAAUGCUGUAUAUUUUGGACAUAAAACUUUUCUAAGCACAAAACUAUUUAGCAAAAAUCAACCAGAAUCAUCAAGAAUGGCCAAGUGAUUGAUUAUGUCUCGAUUAUAAGCUGUAAAAUUAUCCACACGAAAAUCCUGGGUUACUGAGUCGUAGAACAUUCUCUCCCACCAAUACAAGUAAAGAUGUCCACACGUACAACUACAAACCGUAGAAUGAAGAGAAAACUUCAAAAAUUCCCUUUGUGGUUUCAAUUUUUUUCACUUUAGUACCCCGUGGUUUAAAAUGUAUCAAGUUAGUACCCUGUGGUUUCUCACUUUAUCACUUUAGUACCCUGUGGUUUAAAGUGUAUCAAGUUAGUACCCUGUGGUUUUGCACUUUAUCACUUUAGUACCAUGUGGUUUCACACUUUAUCACUUUAGUACCCUGUGAUUUAAAUCACAGGGUACUAACUUAAUAAACUUUAAACCACAGGGUACUAAAAUGAAAAAGUAUGAAACCACAGGGAGAGUUUUUGAAGUUUCCCUAGAAUAAAUGAAUGAUUGGCCACAAGCGUGUAACGAGCUAACAAAAUCUAGGCCGACUCAACCUAUCCCAGCUAGGCGCGACUCGACCCGACCGACCCGACUCGAGCCGAACCCAUUGCCCUUUUCCCGACCCAUCAUCCUCCUAUCCUCCUCCAAUAAAUAUGUAACCCGAUCAAAAUCGAGCUCCUCUCUCCUUCUCUCUCUCUCUCUCUCUCUCUCUCCUUCGCCCUCCUCUUCGAUCUCCUUCCCCGAUUCCAACCCUUCUCCCUUAUUCCUCUCAACCCUAACUCCCUCCCCCUUGUUCUCCUCGCCAUGCUCUUCUCUUCCCUGAUCAAUUCAUGACUCACGCGAAGCGGCCCUUCUCCUGUAGCAGCACCGCCGCCGCCGCUCACGGCCCCAGCUCCGCCGGAGUCGCCGGAACCCCGCCUUCCUCCUCCUCCUCCUCCUUGUCCCCGCCCAUGAAGAAGACUAAGCCCCAGCCACCGCCCUCCUCCUCCGCCGAGAAGAACGGCCUCGACGCGGAGGCCGAGCCCGCGGCCGCGGCCACCACUGGCGUCGCCGCCAAUCUCUUUAGGAAGAAGGCGACGCCGCCCCAGCCCUCAGCGAAGAAACAGCUUCGCAUCAAGAUCACGAAAGGUGCCAUCUUUUGCUUGUUCUCGUGUAUUGAGAAUUGUUCUUCUGUCGAUCUUGGAAUGAGCUUGUCUUAGUUGUUUCGCACUUGAAUAAGUCCUGUCUCAGUUGAUAUUCUCUGAUUCUUUCCUUUGUUUGAUUGUUAAGAUAGUUCAAUCCUGAGAAGCAUCUGUCUUGGAGCAGUUUGUGCUAUGCUAGGGUCAGCUCGCAAAGAUUUGAUAGUAAUACUGUGAAAUUGUUGCACUAGUGCAGUGUACUCAAAUUUGAUCUUGUUAUCUCUGUUGGUAAAUGCACUAGGAGAUAAGAUUACUGAUAUGGAUAAUCUUGUAAAGGCGACUUGGUUGUAGCCAAGGAAGAUCAUAGGAUAGGAAUGAGGCAAAUUGAAGCAAUGCAGUAGUAUUGUCUCUCAUGAAAUGACAUAUUAUAUUAGUGAUUUUGCAUUUGCAAUUGUACAAAGCUACUAAAACUUUCUAGUGCUAGCAAUAGUCGAUCUUUAACACAGAGUAGUUCAUUAAAUCUGUUUAGGAAGAUCACUCUUGGUGCCAUCCAUAGGUUCCAUCUUAAGAAUAGGCAUGCAGCAAUACUCCAUUAGAUUAAAUGUGACAAAGAUUCACAAAUUCUAAGUGAUGGAGUGUGCAGGCGGGUGGCGUAAUGCUUGCAGCCCAUAUUAAUUUUUUUGCUUCUUUUUUUCUUUCUUCUUUUUAAAGAGAAGAUGCCAUUUUGCAUCCUUCCUGGAUGCAUCUUAAGCUAACCAAAAAUGCUAAGAUAAGGAAGUUUGUUCACUAGCGUAUCCAAUCACAUAGAACUUGUGUCCAGAAAACAGAAAAAAGGGCAGCAGUACCAGUGAGGUCUUAGUUUCCCGCAUUCUCUAUUUUGCACUCUGUAACUAACUGAAUAGAAAAGGAGCUAUGAGAUUAGCUGUGAUCCAACGUUCUUUCAUAUUUCAAUUAAGAAAGUAAAUAAUCAAGAUAAUAUGAUCCCAGAUCGUGUGAUUGAGUUAUUAACUCCAAUAAUAAGAUAGUUUCUUUUGUACUGCCGUCGUUUUUGACUUUAUGUAGCUAGGGAAUUAGUCAUUAAUUCUAAGUAUUGCACUCUAUUUGCUUGCAAGCUUCUAAGUUGUAAUAUUUGUAAAUGUGUUUGCAUGCCUGAAAAUGUUUUGAGUAUUGUAAACGCACAAAAAAUUAUAUUAGGAUAGAUUUAGGAUCAAUGUCAAAUGUAGCUUACGAGAAUUGCUGGGAAUCUGUGUUUGGGUUAUUUGUUUAUGUUAUUUUGCUUGUUCAUUAAAAUUUAAAUGCUUUUAUCGUUUUCUUUUAAGAAACUUAUUUGGUCUUAUAUUUUGUGAGUUUGACAUCAAUUGUGUUAUGGUCUAUUGUAGGUCAGCCAAAAUUGCCAACCAAUUUUGAAGAUGAUACAUGGGCUAAAUUGAAGGCUGCUAUUUCAGCUAUUUUCUUGAAGCAGCCACUUUCUUGUGACACUGAAAAGCUUUAUCAGGUGCUUUUCAGUCCCAACUAUCUUGAUAUAUCUAACUGUUUAUCACUUUUCGAGUUGAGACUAGAUACUUCAAGUAAAAUGACUUUAUCUUAUCACAGCGUAAAUCUAUUUGUUUCAUUAUAGGCUGUUGGCGAUCUUUGUUUAUACAAAAUGGGGGCAAAUCUUUAUGAACGCAUGCAGAAAGAAUGUGAAGGGCACAUAUCAGCAAAACUAUCAUCAUUGGUUGGACAAAGUCCUGAUUUGGUGGUCUUUUUGUCUCUGGUUGAGAAAUCUUGGCAAGAUUUUUGUGACCAGAUGUUGAUAAUUCGUAGCAUAGCCUUGCUUCUUGAUCGAACAUAUGUGAAGCAUAACCCAAAUACGUGUUCAGUAUGGGACAUGGGGUUGCAGCUGUUUCGUAAACAUCUAUCUCUGUCUGCAGAAGUCGAACACAAAAUUGUUACUGGUCUCUUAAGAUUAAUUGAGAGAGAGAGGUAUGCUGGUGUUCCUAAAUUUCCAGGAAACUAUGUUUGGUGAACAAAAUAUUUUUUGUUAAAUUUACUAUCCAGUAUUGCUUUUGUACAUUUCCUGAUAUAGUCGACUGUGUUGUCUUUUCAUGGCUUUAAUUUUACCUCUUUUUGCUAAUAUACAUGAUAUAGUCAACUGUGUUGUCUUUUCAUGGCUUUAAUUUUACCUCUUUUAGCUAUUAGCAAGAGUAGCUUGCAGUAAUAAUUUAUCUGGGUAUUUGGACAGACUGAUGCUGAUGCAUAUGAAUCACAUAAAGGAUAUGAAUUGUACUCUUAACAAUUUUCAAAAUGAAGUUGGAUAGUUCACUAACUAGAUUUGGUCCCCUUUUUUCUCCCUAUAUACACAGGAUACAUGGAAUUCUGAAACAUUAUGCAAUAGUCUAUAUGUUAUUCAAACUUUCCAAAUUGAAUGUAUUAAUUUGUCCACUAUAGAUAUUUCUAUAUUUUCUGUCUUGUUCUUGAUUAUUAUCUGAAUUAUAAACACUUCAAACCUGUACAACUUAUUUCCAACUCUAUUUCUGCGUAAUAUGGUAGUCAUCAAGUAAUUUUUACUCUUGUACUAUUAUCUGUUGCUUGUUUUCCUUGGCGAGCAGACUUGGUGAUGCUGUUGAUAGAACUCUACUUAGUCAUCUGUUGAAGAUGUUUACAGCUCUUGGAAUUUACACAGAACGAUUUGAGAAGGCCUUUCUUGAAUGUACUUCUGAGUUUUAUGCUACUGAAGGUGCGAAAUAUAUGCAGCAAUCUGAUGUUCCAGACUACUUGAGACAUGUGGAGGUGAUAUGAGUCUUGCCCCUUUUCCUCUUAUCCUUCUCAUUUAUUACCCUCAAAUUCAGCAACUGAAGUGUGAUCCCAGUAUCAUUUACGUCCCUUAGGGUUUCACUCUAAAAUUAGUCCUUGAAGUUUGUUCUGCAUACUAAUUAUGGGCUCACUAAGCCACCAUCUAGAAGAAAUGCCAAGACAACGUCAUCAUUAUAAUUGAAACGUCGGGUCAAGGUGGGUUUUUUCACAAACAGUAGAUUAAUACUCAAUGUUAUGGGAGUCAAACUUUGAGGAUAAAAUUGUUAAAAUUGGAACUCUCAGGAUGUUAUCUAAAUCAAAUUCAAACUUCAAGGAUUUGAUUUUGUAAUUAACCCAGUUAUUUGACAUUUCUGAUGUUGUACAUGUCUGAAGAUUUGCUGAUGCAUAUUGCAGUCAAGGUUACAAGAAGAACAUGAAAGGUGCAUUCUCUACUUGGAAGCCAACACGAGGAAACCCCUCAUAGCGACUGCUGAAAAACAACUACUAGAACGCCAUACAUCGGCAAUACUUGACAAGGUGGAUUACCCACUACUUUUUGCCUCUCUUAUUAUGUUGCAAAAACUUGUCUUAUUUUCUGAUCGCUUAGCUAACAUUUCACUUUUCUCUUUAGGGUUUCACAAUGCUUAUGGAAGCAAAUCGUGUUACAGACCUUCACAGAAUGUAUACCCUUUUUCAGAGGGUUAAUGCUCUUGAGCUGCUAAGGCAAGCUCUUAGUUCAUACAUACGAGGCACAGGUCAGAGUGUUAUCAUGGAUGAAGAGAAAGACAAAGACUUAGUUCCUUAUCUCUUGGAUUUCAAAGCUUCGCUUGAUAUGAUAUGGGAAGAAAGUUUUGCCAAAAAUGAAGCCUUUUCUAAUACUAUAAAAGAUUCUUUUGAGCAUCUUAUAAAUCUUCGUCAGGUUGGUGUAUGCUGGCUAAUUUGCUUUCUUUGUCACUUCUUAUUUGCCCUGCUUUCUAAUACAAAGAUCUAUUUCAUCGAAGGUUACAUUACAUUCAACUGAUGGAAUCGUCUUUAUCUAGAUUCCUAUCAUUUUAGCGCAUUUGUGGAAGGGAGUCAAUUCUUCGUUAUUCUUAGUUUCUCUUUAUCAAUCCAUGUCCUUCUGUUACAUGAACUAUUUAUGAUUGAGAAAUUUUCUUGUAAAAGUAGCAGUGUAGAUCUAAGGCAACCUGUAGACAAUUUGAGCAGGAGUAGGGGUGUAAAACGGGCCGCCCGGCCCGGCCCGGCCCGGCUACUGUAGCAUCCAUGUCGGGCCUGGCUGGCCCGACCUGGCUCUUCGGGCAUGCUAGGCCUCUUUCCUAGGGCCCGACGGCACGACAUGGCACGGUCCGGCCCGAAAUGGGCCUGGCUCGUGCUAGGCCGAGGAGUGGCCGGUGGGUCGGCACGGCACGGCACGGCCAGUUGGGCCAACACAGCCGGAAACCCCAGGCCCAAGGCAAGUUGCCUUGAGCCUGGGGUCUGAUCUCCUGGGGAGAAGGGCUUGGGCCUCCUCCCCAGGAGAUCUCCUACCAAGGUCUGGACCAAAACAAUUUUUGUCCAUUGGACCAAAAACCCAUCUCAAAAUUUUUUUUUUCAAAAAAUAAUACAUAUAUAUAUAUAAUAUAUAUAUAUAAUAUAUAUAAUAUAUAAAAUAAAUUUAAAUAUUUGUUAUUUAAUUAUUUUUAUAAUUUUUAAAUUUUUUAAUCAAAUACAUUUAAAUAAAAAUAAUUUAUUGUUCAUAUUUUUAGAUUAUAUAUAUUUUAAAAAAAAAAUAAAAUAAAAGGGGCGGCCCGGAGCAUGGCUCAGUGCCUUCCAGCCGAGGGGCUGUUCUGGGCCGCGAGGCUAGGGGAGCUCAGGCCCGCACAGCCAGGCCAGGAUUUGAUGUCCGGCCGGCCAGUCCCUCAGCCCGUUUCGGCACAGAAAAAUGUGGGCCGUGCCGGCCCACAUUGCACCCCUUGGCAGGAGUUACAAAUACUUUGUCUGAGGAAAUUAAGGAUAGGUUUUAAUGUGCUUAUAUGAAUGCUGUUUGAAUACAGAAGAAUGUAUAGGUUUCCCAGAGCAGUUGUUCUUAUGCUCGUGAGGUGGUAAACGAUGAAACAAAGGCUUUCUGAUCAACUCUGUUGUUGUUUUUCUUUUUCUUUCCUUUUUUUGUGGGGGAGGGCACAAGAAAUAUGGGUUAUGAGGAUUAAGGAAAUUGGAAGUGAGAUCAGCAAGUAUAAUUGCAGAAUUUUUUGAAACAUAUUUUCACUUCUACAACCUAUGAAACAUUGUGAUGUUGAAAUGAGUUUACUGUUGAUGUUGUUUCUCGAUAUGAUAGUUUACAAUAACACUUUUGGUGCCCCAAGAUACUUGUUUUAUUGGGCCCUCUUUUCCAUGUCAAAACCUUUAUUUAUAAAUUAAAGCAUCAUUCCAUCCCUCAGGGUUGAGUGCUUGUUUUCUUGUACAAUUAGCUUGAACACUGUACAUUGCUGCGGUUUUCUUAGUUUAGUGUAUCUAUUAAUAUAUCUUCCUUUUGAAUAACAGAAUAGACCUGCGGAACUGAUUGCAAAAUUUGUGGACGAGAAGCUCCGUGCUGGAAAUAAAGGUACAUCUGAAGAAGAGUUGGAGGGUACACUAGACAGAGUUUUGGUAUUAUUCAGAUUUAUCCAAGUAAGCUGCUAAAUAAUUGUGUUACCUUAAUUAGAAUUAUGUGCCACUUCAUAGUACUUGUUCAGACAUUACCGCCAUUCAAUGCUUUUAUGGCAUCCUUGUAGUUCUUUGUUGUACUUAUAUUUUUUUGUUGCACUAUACAGGGAAAGGAUGUAUUUGAGGCAUUUUACAAGAAGGAUCUUGCGAAAAGGCUACUGCUUGGAAAGAGUGCAUCUAUUGAUGCUGAAAAAUCAAUGAUUUCAAAAGUAAUUAUUACGUUCUGAUAUUGAAAUUAUAUUAUAUUUGAUGGGUUUUCAUUAAUAUAACACUAACUUCUCUCUCUCUCUCCAGCUUAAAACUGAGUGUGGGAGUCAGUUCACAAAUAAGCUUGAAGGAAUGUUCAAGGUAUGCAAUCUCCUUUCAAGUGCCUUACUGAGACCAAAGCAUACCUGAAGUUGUAUAUGAUCUGAUUGAUGCAAGUUUUGGCUCCUAUUCUUUAUUAAUUCAUUAUAAGAAUUGUUACUUAAUGGUUUCGAAUAAUACUUGUUCUGGUGUUAUUGUAAUGAAACCUUAAUUUUCCUUUUUGAAACAUUUAAAAUCUGUAAUCGUUUGCUGAUACGCAAUAGUAGGCAAAGUGAGACCACAUCCUAAAUUGCCCUUUGGUGUAUCAGGUCUAAUGUUUCUUCAUUAGACACAUUAGCGCGUCCUAUGUGAGCAGUACCAAGAUAAAAUUCAGAUUAAGAGGAUGGCAGACUUUAGAUUUUUCACUAUAUGCGAUGAAAUAUAUUUUUUACCUUUUUCAUCAAAUUUUUCUCUGCUGCCGGGCUAGGACCGUACUGCUCGAGACACUGAAUCAGCACAUCCUAUGUGAGCAGUACCAACAUAAAAUUCAAUGUAACAGUUUUUAUGUCAUUCAAAUUUCUUCUAGCUGAAGAAAACGACAGAACUAGCAGCACCAGAAUUAACUAAUAUGUUUGCAGGUUAAAUGAGCUUUUUUUUUUUUAAAAAAAAAAUACACUAAACAUUUAUGGUAUUGUCAAGAGCUUCUUGAGUAGUUUUACAUAUUCAACCAUCAAUGCAUUAAUUGAGAUGCAAUACAAGGAUUUUGUUUUCCAGUUUCAGAAAAGAACUAAUGGGGAGUUCUAGUUGGAUUACCUUUUUUUAUUUUCCAAGGGUAGCUACUUUUAAGUUUGUGAGAUCGUUGCUUUAAUCAGACAAAUCAGUGGCGGCUAGACUGCUAACUGAAAAGCAGUAUCUUUACAAUCAUAUUUGAACGUCUAGAUAGUUAUUCACUUAUUUUCACACUGCGUUAGUUUUGCAGAGUAAUCAAGUUUCCUGUAUUUACUAUGUCUCCUGUUUCUUUCAACUAGUACAGGCCACACCACAUCACAUAAUUGGGCUCAUUCACUGUCGGAACCUUCAAUGAUUCGUGCAUUGGGAAUAUAACUCUAUACUUCUUACAGUAACAAUAGGUCACAAUGCAUUACAAUGAAAAUUCCAAAUUGUCUAUGAAGCAAAGUGUCUGUCUAUUGACCUACAUGAAUUUGGCAAGCAUUCGUUGUCAUGACCAUCUUUAUGCGUACUUUUAUUAAUCCUUGCUGCUGUUACUUCAGGACAUUGAAUUAUCGAAAGAAAUAAAUGAUUCCUUUAAACAAUCGUCACAAGCCAGGACAAAACUUCCUACUGGUAUUGAGAUGAGUGUUCACGUGCUUACAACCGGGUGGGUAAUAUCUCGUAAACGUUUUAUUCUUCUAAAGUAAGAACUAGACAAUAAUGGUGUUUUAAUUGUUAAGCUAUUGUUUGUGGUCUCUAUGUUUUGCUUGAUGAUUUUCAGAUAUUGGCCAACAUACCCACCCAUGGAUGUUCGGCUUCCUCAUGAACUAAAUGUGUAUCAGGUUAGAUCAUGAAUGCUAUUUCCGGUGAAUUUUGGAACACUCUUGUCCUUCUUCAGAAUUUUCCAACCUGGUUUUAUUUUCUUUUCUCUGCAAUAGGAUAUCUUCAAAGAGUUCUACUUGAGUAAGUAUAGCGGAAGGCGCUUAAUGUGGCAAAAUUCAUUAGGCCACUGUGUUUUAAAAGCAGAGUUCCCGAAAGGUAAAAAAGAAUUGGCCGUGUCACUGUUCCAGGUGGGUUGUAUUCUAUCAUUAACUUAUUCCCGCUAUCCUUUCUAAUUAUUAAUCUCUUAUAUGUUAUGGUUUAUCAAUACGCCAGACUGUGGUUUUGAUGUUGUUCAACGACGCCCAAAAGCUCAGCUUUCAAGACAUUAAGGACUCAACUGGCAUUGAGGAUAAAGAACUGAGAAGGACUUUACAAUCACUUGCAUGUGGCAAAGUUAGAGUACUCCAAAAGGUAAAUCCCUUGCUUCCGGAUUUGUGAUUUGUUAUUGUUUUAGUAGUUCAAUCGGAUUAUUUUCUGGAUAAUCAGAUACCAAAAGGAAGGGAUGUUGAUGAUGAAGAUUCAUUCGUAUUCAAUGAGGAAUUCAGCGCUCCUCUGUAUCGCAUUAAGGUAUGUUUACUCUGUUUAGAUGUAAUGUUGGUAUUUUCUAGUUCAAACCUGGAAAUAACAUGGUUUAUUUUGUUAUCAGGUAAAUGCAAUUCAGAUGAAAGAGACAGUGGAAGAAAACACAAGCACCACCGAAAGAGUCUUCCAGGAUCGUCAGUAUCAGGUUUGUGAGAAAUGCAUGAACUGGCAAAACAUUUACCGGCCAAAUUCACCAUUUCUAUGUACUCUUUAAUUUAUGCAUGAUUAAUACCGAGUCUGACAAGAAUUUUUUUAUUUUUUUUGCUUGGGCGAUCUUUUGGACUUGAGGAUGCUAUGUUCACAGAAGUCACCUUGGUUUUAUUUGGAAUUGAUAAUCCAGAGAGUUGGUUUUUACAUGCAUUCAGAGCUCCCCAUCAAAAUGAUAUGGACGAACUUCAAUUUUGUAGAAAGAGAAAAGAAAUAAGAUUGUCAGAGAAAUUUACUUUGUCAUAUUUUGUAUAAUUUUGAUAUCUGGGAUUAUUUUCCCCUCUUUUUUUGUUAAUUUGCAAGCAGAAAUAUCAGAAAUAUUACUAAAAGGAGUAGAUGUUUUUGUUGUAUCUACUGCAAAAUGUGAAAGAUGCAACAGAGAAAAUAAUAUUUGCCUGCUUCUCUAUGAACAUUAGUAACUAAAAUUUCUGAUUACAGUAAAUGAAAUAAUGUAGGUGUCCUAAUAUUUAGACACAAAUUAGCUGGCCCCAGUAGGAACUUAAGAUAAUUGCAUUUUUAAGUUUCUUAUUCUUUGCCGUUAUUUCUGGUUCAUUUGCAGGUUGAUGCGGCCAUUGUUCGUAUCAUGAAGACAAGAAAAGUUCUAAGCCACACGCUUUUGAUAACCGAGCUAUUUCAGCAGGUAAUGUGCAAAUUAGUCUGCUCAUAUUUUCCCCUCUUCUCUGUUGUCUUCUGCAGGAUUCAUAUCUUGCAUUUUCUCUUUCUUAGCUCAAAUUUCCAAUAAAGCCAGCGGACUUGAAGAAAAGAAUAGAGAGCCUAAUCGACCGAGAGUACCUGGAGCGGGAUAAAAAUAAUCCUCAGAUCUACAACUAUCUUGCUUGAUUACUUGCCUGUUGUGCCUCUUAUUAUAUAUCUUUUUUCCGUGCAAAUUAGCGACUGCGUCGCCUGCUUUAAAAUCUCUGCAUGGGGGGCUGGUUUAGUCAACCUUUUGUUUCCAAAUGUACAGGGAGAUGCGGCGUUUGUUUCGGUCUUUUUUUGUCCCUGUGAUCAUCAACAUACUAGUGUAAAAUAUCAGUUCCACUUUUUUUUCUUUUUUCUUUUUUCCUUUUUUCCUUUUUUCAGAAAAAUUCGUCAUGGAACUACAAAACAACAUUGCUCACAAAGGAAUGAGGUCUUUAAUCUAAGUUAUUCUUCUCGUAGUAUCUAAUGUGCAAGUCUCUGCUGUUGAUGAAGAUGAAAAUAAGUGCUUUUCUCAUUCUUCUGUAUGGAUUAACCAUUAGGUUUAUAGCUUUUUUUCUGUUUUGCUUCAUUCAACGAAGUUAACAAGCAUAUCAUGCCCUGUAAAAGGACUUUUUCAUUUGAUGAAACUGCAUUUACUGGUCGGAAAGUAGGAACUAUAAAAUAACUAUUUUACUCCAAGAGAAAGAUGUUUUAUAUUUUUUGCAUUAAAAGGGAAUCAAGAUUGUAAAAUUGUGUGGGUUCUAUUUAGAAAUUUUCAAAUCAUAUGCAGAAUUCUCAAAUAAUGUAUAAAGUUGUCAAUGAACUAAUAGUUCUGACUGUCAUAUGCAUUCUCGAAAUGGCUGUUGAAAUCUCCAAACUGCAUAAAAUGAAAUCCAAAAUUUACAUAAAUUGUUUCAAAUCCGGGGCCAAAACUAGGGCCAAACAACAGCCUACUCGUCAUCGUGUUCCUAUCUUGUAUUCUAUGGCUCCUCGAUCUCCAAAUUGCAAUAAGUAGCCCAAUAAAAGAGCAGGGAAAAAAAAAAACACACACAUACAAUAGUGACACCGAUACAAUUUUUAUAAUAAUAAAAUCCAAAGGAGGCAGGGUAAUAGAUGAUUCGAGCCGCAACCCCGACCCUCUUCCACCGAUCUCCCCCUCCACCUCCCCUUCCUUCCUCAUCUACCCUCUCCGUCUCCCUCGCCAUGGCCACGCACGACAAAACCCGCACGCCGCCGCCGGCAUCGACCUCCUCCGCCGAGCCGGAGCGGAGCGGAGGCGGGAGCGGGGCGCCGCGGCGCGUGUGGUGUGCGGCGGCGGCGUGAUCGGGGCGUGCACGGCGUACUUCCUCUCCCAGAAGGCGGCGCCGAGGUCGCGGUGACGGUGGUGGAGCGCUCCUCCCCCGCCUGCGGCCGCGUCCGGCAAGGCCGGGGGCUUCCUCGCCCUCGACUCGGUGCGACUCCGCCCCUUCCGCCUCCUGCGCCGCCUCCGCCCCUCACACCGCUCCCUCUCCUGCCUCCCGACGGCCCCUCUCCUACGGCUACCCCCCUCCACACCUCUCCCUCCCCCUCCUCUCCCCCUGCCCUCCUCGCCCCUCCCCCUCCCCUCACUGUUUUUCUCCCCUCCUGGAUAGACGGCGCCGCCGCCGCGGGCCCCCCGCGGACGCUCGGGACGCCGGAGACCACGGCGCAGGUGCACCCGCGCCUCUUCACCGCCGCGCUCCUCGCCGCGUCCGGGGCCGAGGUCGUCGUCGCCGAGGCCGAGCGCGUCGUGGUGGCGGACGAGGGCCGCGCCGUGGGCGUCGCCCUCCGCGGGAGGGACGACCCCAUCCCCGCCGACGCCGUGGUGCUCGCUCUCGGGCCUUGGACGGCGCGCCUGGGGCUCGUCGCCUCGCUCUUCGACGUGUCCGGGAUCAAGGCGCACAGCAUCGUGCUGCGCCCCAAGGAUCCCUCCGCCGUUACCCCGCACGCGCUCUUCCUCAGCUACCGCCCGGAGCCCGGCGCCAAGCUCCUGGACCCCGAGGUUUACCCUCGACCCACAGGUAAUGAAUCAGUGGCCUUUUGCAGUAUAAUUACUGGUAGUUAAAAGCCGUUUGGAAGUAGCGUUUCCUGGAUGUCAGUGCAUGCUCAAGUAAAAGUACAAUGAUAUUUAUAUUUAUAUUUGCUCUUUGGUCGGUUACAUUUAGAUUACUGUUUAUUUUUUAAUAAUAAACGAUGAGUGAAAUGAUAAUUUUGUCAUCACAAAUAUGUCUCUUUAAAAAACUUAACUGUUAGAAUUAUGCAGAAAUAUCCGUCUAAAAAUUUUCAACAAUCAUCUUCUUUCUUCUACCAUCACAAAUAAUAUAAGAGCAGUAAAAAUGUCAAUUUAUCUUCUUUACUAAUUUGGAUUAAAUAUUUUACCUAUGGUUAACUAUAUUUUUCUAACAGAUCCUAAUAGUAGGGAUAUAUUUGAACAACGUUAGGAGCUUUGAAAGAAUAAAUAGGAAAGUUGAACUUUGUAGGAAUAUAUCUGCUAUUCGAUAUGUUUAUAAAGAGUUGUAUGCAAUUAAUCCUUUUAACUUCCCAUCAAAACGAAAACUAAGUAUAUUUUUAUUUGUAAAACGCCGGGUUGUUUGUUUCUUUGUUCCGAUACUAGAGAAAUUGCUUCGCAGGAGAGCUAAAGAUGUUGAAAUUACUGUGUUGAUUGCAGUUUUUAGUUGAGAAUGUAAAAAUCAUGUGAAGUUAGACCAUUACUAGUGAGGACAGUUAAGAAAAUUCAGUAACUAAACUCUUAUUUUCGAACAUUAUGCUUAAUAUGCUAUGUGAUCCUCUCAAUUUAACAUAUGUCAUACUAGCAAUGAGAACUAAAUAUGGGAAUCAUACCAUACACUUGAGAGUCCCUGAAAUUCACAACAGGAGAAGUGUACAUUUGCGGGAUGUCGAAGGACGCAGAGGUCCCUGACAACCCUGAGGAGAUCGUCGGGGAGAGUGAGUCGAUCGAGAUGCUACACAAGAUAGCGGGGAUGGUUUCGAGCCAUCUAAAGAAGGGGGAGACCGCGGAGGUGGUCGCCGAGCAGGCCUGCUUCCUGCCCUGCACUGAAGACGGGUUGCCAGUCAUCGGCGAGAUCCCGGGCGUGAAGAACUGCUACGUCGCGACGGGGCACAGCUGCUGGGGCAUUCUCAAUGGCCCCGCGACCGGAGCCGCCUUGGCGGAGCUCAUAUUGGAAGGGCGAUCCACCACCGUCGAUCUCAAGUCAUUCAGUCCUUCCAGAUUCCUAAGGAAAAAAAGAACCAUUGUGUGACAAAAAUUGUAUGAAUUUGAAGGGUUUGAUCGGCUUGCUUGAUGGUAUCAAGUACAUGUGUUCGUUUGAUGUAAUAUAUUUUGAUUAGUAAUUGAGGAUAAAAUGGUUGUUUAUGUUAGAUCUCUACAUCUUUACCAUGUUUAUGUUCAACCCUGACGUGUUACAACCAAUAAUAUGCUGCUGAUGUAGUUUUUGUUAUUGUGUAUUUUUUUUUUGGUUUUUACUUUUUGCUUUUUAAAGCAUAUUUGAUCCAAAAGCAUGAGAACUCAAGGUACUGUAGAAACAAAUCUCAUUUAAAUUUUGAAUAAUAACUUUUUCUACUGGUAAUUUGAAAACUAUUUAAUAUUUUGUACAAUAAAAAUUUGAAACGAACAUAGGGGGUGUUUGGCCUAGUUUUUAAAAAACGUUUUUGAGUUGAAAAGUGAUUUUCGGCUCAAUAAAAAGUUUGGCAACCUCACUUUUAAAAUAUGAUUUUAUUUUUUAGAAUCAGAAAACUGAUUUUGAAGGCUCAUAAUCAUAAGUAGAAAAAAACUGCUUCUCAAAAUUUGAUUCUGAUUUUGGACUCAAACUUCAAAUUUUUAUUUUAAUUUUAAAUUCAAUAUUUAAAUUUAAUUUUAAUUUUAAAUUUUAAUUUCCAGAUUUAUUUUUGAAUUUUUAAAUUUUAACUUUCAAAUUUUAAAUUGUGUAAAAUAGAUUUGAAACUUUAAAUUUUAAAUUUUAAAUUUUAAUUUUAAAUUUCAAAUCUCAAAUUUCAAAUUCUCAGAUAAUUCAAAUUAAUUGACAUUUCAGAUUUUAAAAUUUAAAUUUAAAUUUUUAAAAUUUUAAAUUAUAAUUUUAAUCUUCAAAUUAUAAGCUUCAAUUUUUUAAAAUUUAAAUUUAAAUUUUAAAUAUUCAAAUUUUAAAUUUCAUAAUUAUUUAAUUUUUAAUUUUAAAUUUAUAUUAUUUAAACUUUGAAAUUUAAAAUUUAAAUAUAUUUUUAAAUUUUAAUUUAUAUUUUAAAUUUCAUAAUUAUUUUAAAUUUUAAAUUUUUAUUUAAACUUUGAAAUUUAAAAUUUAAAUAUAUUUUUAAAUUUAAAUUUCAUAAUUAUUUUAAUUUUAAAUUUUAAUUUUAAAUUUAAAUUUUAAAUUUAAAUUUUAAAAUUUUAAAUUUUAAAUUUUAAAUUUUAAAUUAAAUAUUUUUAAAUAAUAAUUAUUUUAUAUUUAAAUUUCAUUAUAUUUAUAUUUUUUUAAUUUAAAUUUAUUUUAAAUUUUAAAUUCUAAAUUUAAAAUUUAGAUUUAAAUUUUAAAUUUUAAAUUUAAUUUAAAAUUUAAUUUUAAUUUAAUUUAUAUAUUUUUAAAUAUACUAAAAUUUUAUAUUUGAAUUUCAUAUUAUAUACAUUUUUUAAUUAUAUUUAUAUUUAAAAAUUUUAAAUUUCAUAAUUAUUUUAAAUUUUAAAAUUUCAAAUUUAAAAUUUGAAAUAUUAAAAUAUCAAAUUUAAAAUUUUGUACAAUUUUGAAAUUUAAAAAAUUUUAAUUUUAAUUCAAAUUUAAAUUUAGAUUUUAAAUUAUUUUAAAAUAAAAUUUAAUAAAAAUAUUAAUUCAUGCAAACAUCAAAAAAAAUUUACCAAACAGUUUUUCAAAAUAACUUCAGAAAAAUCAUUUUUAUCUAAACUCAGCGAAACGCUUUACAGCUUUUAACCAAAAUCACUUUUCCAAAUCAAAAUCACUUUUUCAGCCAUCACUUUUUUAAAAGUUAGGCAAGACAGGCCCUUAUUCUUCAACUUUGGGACGCAUUUACUUGUGUGCAAACAGCAAUUUCGCAUGGCACGAGCCGCUUCUUCGCCGCGUGAGACAGUGCGUCGAGUCACUCGCGGUCGAACCUGAACCGGCCGGUUCAAUUACCCAGUCGACUCGGCUCAUCGAACCGGUCUGGGUUCAUUAUAUUUCGAUAGAGAUAGAGAAUUACGGUAGAGAAGGGUGAGGAUUGAGUUACAAAAGAGAGAGAGAGAGAGAGAGAGAGAGAGAGAGAGAGAAGGGAUGGAGGUUAGAAGUAGAUAAGGGGAAAAAGGGGUUGGGGAAGAGAAGAGAAAUAGUGGAGAAGAAGAGGAUAAUUGGGGAAGAAGAUAGAUGUUAAUUCAUUUCAUUCAUGUCCCUAACUUGCAUUACAUUUUGGUAUAUAUAGUCUCAACAACUUGUACUGAAUUGAAAUAAAACUAUCCUACGAGGGCUUAACAGCAAUUUUGUUAAAAAAAAAAGGGAGCUGUGGGCCUUCUGGGUUGAAUUCAGACGGUUUCUGGGCCUCGUCUGGGCUUGGCAGGUCCAAAGCUCUCUGGUAGCGGUAAGUGGAUGUCAGUUUCCUUCUUAAUCGCAUUAUCCUCCGCCCGGCGGAUAUCGGGUCCGCCUUUUACACCCGAUCCAGGAACUGGGUCGCCCGAUCCACUAGUAAAUGGUAAGCGGGCGCCGGUUCGUUCUUCUCCACACCAUCCGCAACCCGGCGGAUAGUGGGAUCGCCUUUUCCCCCCGAUCCGGGGUUCGCAGCUCCGACCCGCCAGCUCUCUUCUUCGCCUCCAAAUACCAAGAUCGGUCGGACCUCCUCCUCCAACCUCGAUCCUCCCAUUCCCCUUCAGCUCCGACGAUGCCCUAGCCCGUCGCCUCGCCGGAGUUCCGCCGGACCGCCUCUCGCCAGACUUCUCCGUCAAGCUCGCCUUCCUCAACCUGCUGCCGCCGCUUAUCUCGCCUAUAUUUUUUGUAAAGCUGCCAUUUUUACUGCCUCCCCUGUUAAUUACUAUUGCUUAUUCUCCCAGGUUGUUACAUUUAGUCGCUGGAUCUAGGAUCGGUAAUUGCUUUACUCAAUUCUUUUUUUUUAUUAUUUUGGUAAUUUAGUAGAUCUGAUCAGUGUUUCAGUUUCUUCUUCUUUCUUUGUUGUUCUUACAUCGUUGCUCUCUUGAAUUAUACGCAGUUUGAGCACGUUUUUGCUUGAAUAAUCUUGUAAUUUUCGUUUUCUUAUCAGAUUGAGCGAAUUGGUUUUGAAUUCCGGCUCUAAGAUUGUUUAUGUAGAUGAAAAGGUUUGGUUAUCGUUGGGAGUGUUCUUAGACAUUAGAUCGCAAGCACAUUCCUCCUAAAAUAGAAGGCGAGGAUUCCAGUUAAUUUAUAUAUUAUAAGAUGGAUCCGCUGAAAACUUACUUGGGGAGGCUGGUAUUAGAAGAACUAACUCCGGUGGUCAUGGUUCUCACAACUCCUCUUGUCGAAGAUUCUUGCCGCAAGAACGGGCUCGGUUUCGUCGACAUGCUCCUCCCAUUCUCUGUUUUCAAGAAAUUUGAUGGUUCGGAGAUUCUUUCGUAUUCUUUUUGAAUCUUUGUGAAUUAGCAUAUUCUUGCUUCUUUAUGAAUCGUUGUGAAUUAGCAUAUUCUUGCUAUUAGCUUGAAUUGAUAAUUUUCUUGUUUGUGUUCUCUUUGUGUAGUGCCUGUUCGUACCGUAAAUGACCAACCUUAUAGGUUACAGAUGUUCAAGCUACGAAUGGUUUAUGCUUCUGAUGUGCGGCAACCAAACUACGAGGUGAAGUUGACGUUGAUAGCUAGUUUUUUUUUUCGGUAAUUGUAUGCCUAUCAACUAGUUCCUUCUGCUAAUUUGUUAUUUCUAUGUAAUCUUUUGGAUAGAAAGACGAAUGAUCCUUUCAAGCUUCUAGCUGUUUCUCAGAGUGUUGAUUUUUUGUUUUUUUUUUUACUUGUGUCUCAGAGUGUAAAAAUUUAGAGGAGUAUUGGUAAUCUUUUUCCUUAUUAAUGGUUUUGAUUUUGAACUAUUUAGUGCUGUUUCCAUUGAAUGAGAUCAAAGCUGAGAUAAGCUAAGAUGGACUUUAUGAUGUCUAUAGUGUCAGUGGAAUCAUAAUGCCUUUCAACCUGACUCAAAAAUGAGAAAGUAUCCUAAUAUCCAAUAUCUUGCCCUAAUGCUGCCUUUUUCACCUCUCAUGAUAUAGAAACCCUAGUUGCUAAUUGGAGGCAUUGGGCAGUCUUUGGCCACUCGGUUGCCCACAUAUAAUCUCUUGAAGUGUUCCUCAGUGCUAUUAUGUUUAAACUAUCCCUAUUCACCUUCACUCUUUUUGAGUAUCUGAUUACAUAUUAGGAGCAUUGCUGAUAAAUUGAAAAUAAAAUGGCCCACAUAAUUUUGUAUGAGUUAUUGCUUGUGAAUUUGAUAUUAUUCCUAAGCUGGCUGUAUGGCAGCUUGUACGACUGAUCACUUAUUUCGAAACAGGCUGCAAAAGAGCAUUUGAAGCAGGUUGUUCAUGACUCUGGUGAAAAGGCUCUUUCUGAUUUGCUUUCCGACCCUCCACAACUUGAAACUGUACUUAGCAGUGAGAUGCCGCUCUUCUGGCAAAUUUGACCUUCUGUUGUUCAGCUUUUACGUAUUUUGUAUUAACUGUCUUCUAAAAAUUAAAUCAACAGUGAUACUUUUAUGUAUGUUGUGUUAAGUAUCUUCUAAAAUUAAAUUAAUGGUAAAAGGGAAAAUGGACUGCCUGGCUUAAAAGCAUUUUUGACUUGAAUUUUUAUCUUUCUGUAGUUGCUGCAGCUGUUCUUAUGGGAAUAACUUUGUUACUACUAGACAACCUUACAUGAUCUAGCAAACUAUGUUUGUUUUUGUAUUGGACUAGUCAAGAAUAGUGAGCAAGAUGCAACUAGUUCAUCUUACCUUUGUUUUUAAGUGACAAAAUUUUAAUGUUGAGCGAAUAUACAUUAAUUAGUAUGUUAGGUGAUUUGUUGAAUUGUACAACAAGUGAUCUGAUAUUAAACAGGAUUAGAAAACUUGAGAUGGCUGUACGAUGGGGACAUAUUUGGAAGAUAUGAUGAGGAAUCUUUUCAGUGUCAAAAGCUGAUUUCAAAAGUAAGAAAAAAACGUUGUUUCUUUAUGGCUGUGUGAGGCCAUGAAAUUUGUGUAUUGUGCAAAAAGCAACAGUCUGUUGCUUCUUAAAAUGUUGCCCCACUGCACAAAUUCUAUCAAUCCAUACUUAAUCCCGCCCCAUGUGAGAUCAAAGAUCCAUAUAAGACAUGGUUUCUGAUCUCAUUUUUCCCAGAGUAUCCACAAACUAGGCUAAAAUCUUCUUAAAUCUUCAUGAAUAAAAAAAAAGAGGAUUAGGUAUCCUUGUAUCUUCACAUAAUGCAUGUAUCUGUGGCAAAGUGUUGCAUUUAAAGGUGCAUCUGUAUAUUUAUCCAUGAGCCUUGGAAUGGCACCUUUGAUCCGUAUUUCCUCUCUUUAAUUUAGGUUAAUUUUGUGAAAAAUAACCAGUAAGGUGUUAGAUCUUUGCUAAUAAUGGAUUCCUUAUACCACAUAACUGGCGCUGACUAAUACUUUUUGCAGAUUCAGAAUCUGAUUUAUGCCCACAAUGGAUUCAAACAUUCAAUAAAGAACUUAUACGGACUCUGUCCUUUUCGGAGCAUGAGACUUUUGACCACCCUGUUGCAUGUAAGCUUUGUUUCUAUGGAAAGUGUCCUUAAAUAGAGAAUAGCUUAUUGUUAUUGAACAUCAUGAUAGCUUUUGAUUUGUGCUGAGUUCAUGCACUUGAAUUGUCCUACAGGCCUUUUAGUUGUUUCAUCGAAGGAUGAACAGCCCAUCAAUAAAUUUGUCGAUAUUUUCAACACAAAUCAGUUGCCUUCUCUUCUCAAUGAUGGUCUCAUGGAUCCAAAGAUAUUGAAGCACUAUGUUCUUCUGCAUGAUAAUCAAGAUAGCUCACCAGAGAAGUACUUUUCUUUGCCUUCCAUCAUUUUCUGUAUUGUAUUUGAUCUUUGCCAUCUGAAUACUGCAAUAGACUAGAUGAGCUCAUGAGAGCAUAGAAUUUCCAGGUAUGCCUUAUCUGAGACAUCGAAUCAAUCUCCAUGUUUAUGUACUUUUCUUGGUAAAAGAAAAUUAUAAGCCGUUUCAAAUACUGUGCUAGAAUGGCAUGCCACAGUAUUUAUUGGAAUACAAUGAUCAGGAAAAGACAAUUAGUUGGACCUAAUUAUCUACGCUGAGCCUUCUCUCUUUCUAAGGAUAAGAUCUGAAGCUUCUGUGAUUGAUCCUUAACCAGCAGUGUGGUAGAUGAAAGAAUCAUGCAAAGGAGCAAAUUAGAUCAAGAAUAUGAAGUGAAAUAGAAGAAAGGAAGCAGAGGUUGAACUGAAUGGUGCUGGUUGAUGAUUUGUCAGCAUAUCACUUAGACAUGUUUCUUUCCUGUCAUUGGCUGUAGGCUGCUACGUCAAUUUAGUGUAGCUUGUACCUCUAUGUAAUAACAACUAACCAAUAGCUAGCUAUUGUUCCAACUGACUGCUUGACGGGGCUAAUGAUUGGCUUGUCUCCUUUUGAGAUACUUCUAAAUUUUGUCGAGAGAAGAAAUUUCUAGUUUUUCUGUUUAAAUAUGUUGAGGGUUAGUGAAUUGUCUGAAUUACUCUAAUGUUUUUUUCUGAUUUACUUUGUCAUUACUUCUUUCCGUCUAUGGGUUUAAAAUUGAAGAUUUACUUUAUCUGAAAAGAAAAAAAAUGAAAAAAAAGUAUAAUGAAGACAACAACGUGCAUUGGUGCGUCGGACGGAAGACAUGAAGAAGAGGUGGUGCCAUGAUAUAGAUUAUAGAUGCUAUCAAUUAGUUUUGACCUUCUAGCCAUUACAGGGUAUAAAUUGCAAAUUCACAGAUCAAUAUAGUUAUUUUGUGGAGUUUAUGAACUUAUACCAGGUUUUUUAUGCUUAUGUGUCAUCUAUAUAUUUAUGUAAAUAAAUUUCAGAAAUUUACAUCAUCAAGGGAAAAAGUGGAGGUUCAGUGAAGAAGAUGGUCCAUAAUUGGUCAUCACUUUAAUUUUUCAAUCUUUUGCUGAUAUUAUUUCUCAGUUUCUAUGCAAGUCUGAAUUGCCUUUUGUUCUCUGAAGAUUGAUUAUAAUAGUUUCAUUUCUUUUUUUUUCUACUAAAGGGCAACCCACAUUUUAGCAGAAAUGAGGAACACUUUCGGUCCAAAUGACUGUAAAUUGUUGUGCAUUAAUUCUGCCACAGAAGAUGUUAAUAACAAGGGAUUUUCAUCAGUACCUUAUGUAAGUUGACAAUUGAGGAAACGAGUUAAUCCUUUUGAUUUCUAAAAGUGCUAAAAGUGUUUAGUAAAUAUAUUGUAUAUUUACAUCUCAAUUCUGUACAGAAAACUCAUGGCUUCCUUGGAGAAGACAUUGCCCGGUGCCUUAACUUGGAAGAUCUCAAAUCGGUGAGCGUUCAUCAACCAUCAUUAUAGAUGGUGGGAUGGUACUAACUUUUUUAAUCUAAAUAGUGCUAUAUUAUUGAUAAGCAAGAGAGAGAACUAUUUUUUACUUUCCAAAACACCCUUUUGGCCUUGUACACAAGAGUGACGAUUAAUUUUGUUUUAAUGCGCAUCAAGGAUUUAAGUGUCGUGGUAUGGGACUGUGCUUAGAACUUGUUGGCAUGGUACGACAUAGUGUCGUGCCGUGCCGUGCCAUGCCGAUGUGUGCCUGUCACAAAAAUACCUAUGUGCCGACGCACUAUGACAUGAAAUAUUUAUUUUCUUUGGCACCGAUAUAUUCUAAUUGCUUAUUUUAUAUCUUUAUCAAAUAUUUUGCUCUUUAUAAGAUAAUUACUCACUAUAUUCAAAGAAAAAAGGAUGUUGAGCCGUGCCAUCAGCUUGGUGGUCUUAUAGUGCAGAUAUCUUGUCAGUAUGGUAUGGUAUGGUAUGAUAUGGUGGGCACAGCCCAUGCUGAUGGGCACAUAAAACCUUGAUGCACGUACAUGUGCCUUUACUAGAUAAGCCACUUAUUUUCUCUAAUGAUUAUUUGAUUAGAUAAAGGACUUCAUGCAAGAUCUUAAUUCUAACCAUAUCAUCCCAUUUAUGGAGCAGAAGAUACGCAUCCUCAAUCAGCAGGUAUGUGCUUUCAUUACUCCCUAUUGGUGUAUGCCAGUUGCCAACUUUCUAAAUUCUCUUGGUUUUCUUUAGGUAGCUACAACCAGGAAAGGUUUUAGAAACCAAAUAAAGAACUUGUGGUGGCGAAAAGGAAAAGAUGAUUUGCCUGAAGACCCUAGUGGUUCUACGUAAGAGAUCUAUUGCUGGCAAUAUUGGAUUUACAUUUUCUUUUAACUCCAAAUUUUAUAUACAUUACUGUCUUAAAUUCUUCUUUUUCCCUAUUCCUUCUAACAGGUAUACAUUUAGCUCAAUAGAGACCCAGAUUAGAAUAUUGGGUGAUUAUGCCUUCAUACUGCAAGACUAUGAACUUGCUUUGUCAAAUUACCGGUUACUAUCCACAGACUACAAGCUCGAUAAAGCUUGGAAACGCUAUGCUGGCGUGCAGGUACCUGACUUGAUAAUUCUUUUACAUUAAGAAUACUUUGAAUAUGUUACUGUGGGACAAAACAAACUUAAAAGCAAAUGACAUAUCUCGGGUUGCUAGGGGUUGGCUUAUUUCUUGGGUAAAUGGGACCCUAGACUGGUUUUGUAAGCAAAUUUAGGACGUGACCUGAGGUAGAUCCAACAGCUACUGGUUGUUGGAUAAAUACUGCAUACCUGAUUUUUGCAUAGGGGUGGAACUGGGCCGGGCUUGGGUCGGGUAUUACUAUGCCCAAGCCCGGCCCAAAAAAAAUGUUGGGCUUCGGGUCGGGCUUUUACCCAAUUUUUUUUUAAAAUUGAGGCCCGGCCCAGGCCCAAACCCAAUGCCCAAUACCCAUCGGGCUUUGUGGAGGCCCAUUUUAUGCAUCUAUCAUAUAAUAUAUGAAUACUUUUAUUUGUAUAAAAUUAAAAUAAAAUACCUAUUUUUAGUUUUACCACAUCAAAGAAAUUAAUAUCUAAGAUCAAAUAUAUCAUAAUAUAGAACUAAAUAUUUUGUUAAUAUAUAAUAUAUCCUCAUAUAUAUAAGUACAUAUCAUUAAUAACAAUAUAUACUAUAUCAUUUAUUUCUUUUAAUAGAUAAAUAAUAUAUAUAAUUAAAUAUUUUAUUUUGAUAAUUAAUAUAUCGGGCUUUUGGGUCGGGCUCGGGUCGGGCUUGGACAUGCCCAAAUAGGCCCAAAAUUUUUUCGGGCCUAAAUUUUUAAACCCGGCCCGAACCCAAAGUUGUAUUUUUAAUAUCCAAAGCCCGGCCCAAACAUGGCCCAUCGGGCCGGGCCUUGUUUAGGCCCGGGCCCAGUUCCACCCCUGUUUGCAUGACUACCAGCCUUUUACUCUUUAAAGUCUGUUUUGAUGAGCAGGAUUAAGGUACUGUACAUUCUUAUGCUUUCUUGUUUGUUUCUGUUUAUAAGCACUUCCCUAUUGUCUGUAAUACUAUAGGAGCUUGAACACUUAUUCCUCACUUGUUGGUAAUCUAAUUAAUUCAGUUUUGAAUUGCCUUGUUACUUCUUUGUACUAAUCUCACAGGAAAUGAGUGGACUUUGUUACUUCAUGCUGGAUCAAUCAAGAAAGGAAGCAGAGUACUGCAUGGAAAAUGCUUUCAGUACAUAUUUGGUAUAUACCUCUUUUAGCUCAGUAGAAGUGGCUUUACAUGUUUGUUAAUUUGGGAAAUAUGUUUAGAAAUUGAGAGCAGCUGAGUAGGAGAAAAGGGCAGUAGUUUAUUAUGUAUUAUUUUGUUUUAUUUCCUUUCUUUUUCCUUUUUACAACCUUUUACUGAUGUAUUAAGACCAAGUUCUCGUUGCUUGUCUUUUAUUACACUUCUCAUUUUGCCAAUGUAACUAAAUUGCCUUUUUCAUCCACUUAGAUAACGAUUGAAAAACUAUGUGCAGAGAGUUGGUUCAUCAGGUCAGAGAUAUGCUAGCAGAUGUGGCCUCUGGUGGGCAGAGAUGCUCAAGGCUAGGGCACAAUAUAGGGAGGCAUCCGGUGUUUAUUUCCGUAUUUCGAUCGAGGUAAUUAUAUUAUUUAGAAAGUAUGAUUGGAUGAUCCUUUUUUGUUUGCCAUUGAUCAACCGUUGUUCUUCAGGAACCUUCUUUGCAUGCUGCCGUAAUGCUUGAGCAAGCAGCAGGCUGCUAUUUGUUAUCCAAACCACCUCUAUUGCGGAAGUAUGGGUUCCAUCUCAUUCUAGCUGGCAAUCGCUAUUAUAUCUCUGAUCAGGUGUCUAAUUUUUCUUGCAUAUUUCUCUUAGUAAUUCACAAUGUUAUGAAUGAUAGACAAACUUGUCGUAGAUUUGCCCAUCCUAAGCAUUCUUUGUGUGAUGUGCAGAUAAAACAUGCUAUUCGAGCGUAUAGAAAUGCUCUCUUUGUGUACAGCGAAAAUGCCUGGAGUUACAUAAAUGAUCAUGUUCAUUUUAAUGUCGGAAGGUAUCCUAUCAGUUUUAAAUUUGUAUUUAUCGUAUUUCUGGUUUUCCUUUCAGUUUUACUUUAUUUUCUUGCAUUGUUCAGGUGGUACGGAUUUCUUGGGAUGUUUGAUGUGGCAAUCAACCACAUGUUAGAGGUUCUGGCAUGUGGUCAUCAGUCAUUGGCAACACAAAGCACUUUCCUUAAUGACUUCUUCCAUUUUGUUCAGGUAGUUUAUGAAUAUAUACCCUCCUUUUUUUGUUUUGGUACAGUUUACCUAUUAUACUGACAGUCUGUGACUUUGAGUACCUCAGAGACUGGGAAAGAGUUUUGAUGUAUGUAAGCUUCAACUUCCUGUUAUCAACUUAUUUUCGCUCAAAAUUGUCUAUGAAGAUCAUCGGACUUAUGCAUCUACUGCUGAUGUAAGUUGAUCCAUACUCUACUGCUAUCCUGCUUCUUUUCCUUUUCUUUAUGUUUUAUCCUUUGGAGAUGUCUGAAGAAGUUUUCCAGUUGUUAUUAUUGGUCAUUUAUGUUUAUCAUCAUUGCUUGUUCUUAGGUCUUAUAUAUGAUCUUUUUUUCACAAGUUAUUCUUGAAAUUCAUCCUCAAAGACUUCGAGCCAAGGAUAUUUUCUCAGUUUGUACUGAAGUCUAGUAUUUGCUUUUCAUCACUGAAGUCUAGUGUGCAGUUGAAAAGCACACACAUUAGAUUAUCUAUACAGCAAAACCAUCAUAUAGUAUUUCAAUAUAAUAUCUUUCUCAACUACAGGUAUAGAGAGACUAGCAACUGUUUGAAUCUUUAAAUACACUUUGGCUACAAAUUAAUAUCAAUGGAAAUAUUACUUUUAUUGCAUUUUGUUGCUUCUGUAUAAACCUAUGAUCCUUCUGUACACAUGUUCUGGAUACAGAGAAAGUAACAAGUAUCAGUGUUAAUCUUAACAUUCCAUAGCUUGCAUAUUCUGGGAUGUCUAGAAUUAAGCAUUUGCUUGCUGUUGACUUUUCUUUUAAGCAGGUUGAUGUCACCGAGAGUUUGUGGCAAGCCUUGGAAGAAGAAAUGGUUCCAGUGUCUACUGUCAGGGCCAACUGGCUUGAUUCACAACCAAAAUCCUCCUCCAGAAAAGACGAUGACUUUUCUAUUUGUGUGGCUGGAGGUGGGGUUCAGUAGCUUUCUCAACUGUCCCUUUAAUAGAAAAAUGUAUAAUACUGUUUCCUCUGCAACUUCAUUUGUUGUUAGCCACAAUGUAUCGGUAACCCAAAAGCAUCCUUUCUUAAAAUAGUAAUAUUAGCUUUCUUAUUAAAUUAAGGGUAAACUAGGAAAAGUAGGCACAUUAAAAUGAUUUCUUAUCUCUCUUAUUAUCCAAAUAGAAAUUUCAUUUAAUUGAAUUCAAUGGUUUUUUUCUUUUGGGCUGAAAUCAAUUGAAGUCUAUUCAAAUUUGGGUGAAAUCCCAAGUGUUACUUCAAAGGAGUCCGGCUACUAUACUCUUAUGAGUACGAUCGCCCUCGUACUCAUAAGUUGUUUUCGAUGAUAGAGCUUCCGAAACGACGAUCCACACUGUUAAACGUUAUUUAGAGCAUUUAAAACUGCUAGAAAUUAAAUUUCAUAAUUUUUCGACAUCAUUUACCUUACGAUCAAAAACUCACAAAAUUGACCAUUUUUAACGGCCGGUAUGGGAUACUUGCUAGUUUAAUGGUGGAAAAGAAUCGGAAUAGGUAGAAUUUUUGAUAGAAAAUUCUACUAAGUACCUAGAUAAAGAUCAAUAACUCCGAUCUUAAAUUAAAGAAUCCGAUCAUCCAUUUUUAGGACGUCGUUCGAUUUUGACCAUUCAUUUUAUGCCCGCUUGAUGGACUUUAUUAUGAUUUCGAAAAAUUACGAAAUUUAUUUUCUAGAAGUUUCAAAUACUCUAGAUCAUAUUUAACGGAGUGGAUCGUCGAUUCGGAAGCUCUAUCAUCGAAAACAACUUAUGAGUAUUAAGAGCCCACUACUCAUAAUAGUAUAGUAGCCCUACUCUACUUCAAAGUUCAAAUGAUGGCAUUUGGUUAUCAUAGGAAAUCCGACCAAUUUCUUUGAAAUUUCUUGAAUUCUAUAGCUGUUCUAGACACUGGAUUUGAGAAAACUACAAUUCCAAUUCCUUGAUUUCUAAGGAUUUAAGGAAGCCAAACAGGGUUAAUUCAUUGGCUGAGAUUGAUUCUUGUCUUCUCUUCCACACUGCUUUUUCCAGAAAAAUUGUUAAUGGUGAGAUGUUUCUGUUGGAUCAGAUAUAAAGAAUUGACAAAAAGUUAGCAAAAUGAAUUGACAAUAGUGAGAUGUUUCUGUUGGAGUAGAUAUAAAGAUUUGACAAAAAGUUAGCAAAAGGUUGACAAUAGUGAGGAACUUUUAAAAAUUUUGUCGAUAAAUCUAUAGUGGGUGGCUGUUUUGCAUGUACUGAUGAAGUGUUGAUCUGAUUGAUUGCAGAAGCAGUAAAAGUGGAGGUUGAGCUUAAAAAUCCUUUGCAGAUUUCAAUAUCUGUUUCUUCCAUUUCUCUUAUCUGUGAGCUCUCUGCAAGUUCUGAGGCAUCAACUAUUGGUAUGUUGCUCACCCAUGAAACUUGCAACUAUUUUCGUGUGCUAAUAAAGUUGGUUAAAACCCCAACAAAUUCACGUGUAUUGGGGAAAUAUAUCUGUCAACUAUGCAGACCGAAGUGUGUCAUCUGCUGAAGUUCAAGAAGAUACAAAUUUGAUGAAGACAUCCUUUUGUAGGUAUAUCUAAUUUAGUUUAAUGUUAUUGCAUUCAAGAAUCAUUUGUCUAGAACCUUCUGGAUAAAAAUGGCGCUUGUCAUUGAUCAUUGCAGCGAUCAAAAAGGUGAAAACAGUUCCUUUACUUUAUCAAAGAUUGAUGUCGAAUUAGGAGGAGGUGAAACCAAGAGGGUAAGGUUCCUAGUAACAAGUUCCUAUAUAUUUAUUGUUUCCUUUUCAUGAAUUUUUUUAUGGAUCCUGGGAUUCUACUUUCUAGUAUGUUUCUAGUUGUGGCAUUAAUGCUUGGUUAAUGUUUCAAUUCAUUUGUUAGGUCAAUAAGUCUUAAGUUUCCAGAAUUAUAAUAUUAACAGAUUUAAUUAACUUUUUUGUAUAUGCUGCACCUGAACUGCUUCCUUGAAUUUGAUUUUCCACUUGUAAUAUGCUUGUGAAAAUAUUGUAGAAUGACCUGCCAAAGAAAAAAUAGUAAUGGCAUGAAGCAUGUCAUUGUACAGUAAUAUCGAAAUGAGACAUUGAAGUGUGGCCAUAUUCCAAUUAGUGUCGACUUUUCUAUUUAUGAUACUUAAAAAUAUGGAGAAGAUUGACGUCCAUAACUUCACACUGUGUAUCAAAGUUUGAUUUGUACUGUGAAUAUAGGUGCGACAACCUUUGCCCUGUGAAGCCCAUCAUGCCAGUCGUUUAUGGGCCACAGGCUUCAUUUUGUUUUAGUUACCAAUCUUCAACCACCAAUCAUCUGCCCAGGAAAAACAUUCAAUAGCAUCAAAUAUAAUUUCCAGCACAUGCUUUAAUUCAUAAAGGAAGUAAAAUAUAUGAUAUGUCCUGCUAUGUUUGCAUAUUCACUCAUGGUCGACAUUUAUGUCUCACAGCUCGGUAGCCUCCAUGUUUAUUGGUUGGGAAAGAUUGAGGAGAAUUUUCUUCUAUGUAGCUGUUUUUUCUAAUAGUUAGGCAAUGUUUAUAGCUACUCUGUCUACUGUUGCUCUGUACUUAUCAGAAUUUGAUUUCCCUGAUAUAAUUUAGCCAUUUUCACUGCAUUAAUUUUUCCAUUUUGCUUGUGUUGAUUUUCAGGUACAACUUGAAGUUACUCCGAAAGUGGAAGGUGUUCUAAAAUUAGUUGGGUUGAGGUGGACUCUAUCAGAUUCGGUGGUCGGUUAUCAACACUUUGAGACUGAUGCAAAGAAGAAACACAAGAAAGGGAAGAGAUCAAAGCAUUCUUGGAAGAGUAGCCUGAAUUUAAUUGUGAUAAAGGUCAGUGCCUUCCACUUUCUUAAUCCACUUUUGUUUGAAGAUCUAAGUAGUAACUCCUUUUUUUACAAUUAGGGCAUACCAAAACUUGAGGGACGUGUUGAUGGUUUUCCAACAAAAACAUUUGCGGGUGACUUACGGCUUCUCAUGCUGAGUCUGAGAAACCAUUCAGAAUAUUCUCUGAAGGUCUGAUCAUCAUGAUUUAAUAUUUUUACCCUUUUUUUUGCCUUUACUGUUUUCUAAGUUUGUCUUAGAAGCAAUAUUUAACCAAGCAAUUUUUGUAAAUCAUCUAUGUAAAAGAAAAGUAAAAUUCGCUAUAUUCUUGGUAAAUUGUCGUAAAAAACUAAUAAAAUCUUCCUGAAAUUUGCAGAACAUCAGGAUGAAAGUAAGUCAUCCGAGAUUCUUGAUUCCCGCUAAUUCUGCGGACAUUCAUGAGGAUUUUCCUCAAUGCUUAGAAAAGCAGAGACAAAUGGAAAACAAGGAUGCGUCAGGAAAUGCUAAAAAUUUAUCCAGGAGUGCCUUCUUUUCAUUUCCAAAUGUGAGGAGAAAUUCUGGAAUACGAUCAUUAGUUUCAAUCUUACUACAAAGUUGGUCUAUAAUCUUUUAAAUUUGUUUUCACUUUUUUUAUACAGGAUGUUACUAUUCGAGGCGGCGAAACAUUCUCAUGGCCUCUUUGGUUUCAUUCUGGGUCUUCUGGAAAUAUAUCUCUUUAUAUGUCAAUAUACUAUGAAAUGGAAGGUGGUUCUAGUGACAUGACAUACCGUACACUGCGCAUGAAUUACAAUUUGGAGGUAAUAUUUCUAUUAAAAAAUUCAUGUUUUAUAGGGUACAUUUUCCGGUAUGUUUAAAAGUAAUCACCUAGGUGCAACUUUUUGAACCUAAUGUACUUUUUCAUUGAGAACUGAGAUUUGUUGGAAUAAAUUGACUGAAUGAGUUAUUUUAAUUGCUCUCUGGUGGAUUCAAUGCCUGGUAGAGAAGGUUGUGGAACUCUUGCUGGUACCAGUUCAACUUUUUGAGGAAGUGGGUACCCUAGUUAUUUGCUCCAUAAGCCACUGCGUAAUAAAUUUAGACAGUGGUUCCAUUAUUGAAUGUGUAUGUAUUUUGGCAUUGUGGACUUUUGUGUUGUUCAUUUCAUUCUAGGAAUCUGAGCAAAGAAUGAGAGAUACUGGUGCUUAUUUUUUUGUGUACUCAUACGUGUCACCAAGAAGUUUUCAGUCUUCAUAAAUUUACUGUGGUUAGGUUGCAUAAUUAUCUCUUGGCAUUCUUCAUAACAGCCUCUAUUCUUCGGAGCAAUUGAGUGAUUUAGGCAUGCACAUGGCUUGCCCACAUCUGGCCCUAAUACCAUUUUUUUCUUCACGUAUUCAGUAAUACGAAGUAAUAAAGAUGAAAAAAAAAACAAAGUAAUAAGGGAAUAUAUCCAGUCCUGUUGGCAAAUUUUUUUUGAAAUUGAGCACAACCGGCAGGUCAGACAUAACAUAGAUGCAGCCAUCAGUUGGUAAGUUGAAAGCUAAUUUGGAAAUCACUUGUUUAUAGAUACCUGUAGCUAAUAGUUAAAACUUGAAAAAUUGAAAAGAAAGGAGAAAACAGGAAGGAAAAAAAAUUAUGACUGCUUUUUUGAAUUGGCAAAUCCUUUUGCAGUGUGGUUGGAAUUGACUUUUUCAUGCAGUAGAAAAGAUUGAGGGAAAGAAACUUUGAUUAAGUGUGAGAAAAAUGGUUGAACAAGUGGAUGUAGUUUCUUUUUAUGUACAUACUGAUUGUUUUCUUCAUGAAGUAGAUAAUUAGAUCAUUUUGGAAAGGUAUUCCAUCAACUAUCUUUACCUAUUUCUGUUGCUUGCCGUUAUUGAGUUUAUUUCUUUAUUAAGUGGGCUGUUUUGGUACUAUUUUUCAUGCUAUGAAAGUAUAAUCACCAUUUGGCAGCUUUGUCUUGUUCUCCAAGUAAUGUCCCCUUUAUUUUGACAGGUUUUGCCGUCAUUAGAUAUUUCAUUCCUGAUCAGCCCAUGGCCGUCAAGGUUACAAGAGUAUUUUGUGCGUAUGGACGUUGUUAAUAGAACCAUUUCGGAGACAUUCUUACUGCAUCAAUUGUCAUGUGUUGGCAAUCAGUUGGUGAUAUCAGCAUUACCUUCCUGCAAUUCUAUCUGCUCCAUGCAAGAAAUAUUUGCGGGCCAGACAUUAUCAUGCUUCUUUAAGCUAAAGGUUUGAGAGCAUUUUAUUAAUUCCACUGUUAAACUAAUCUACUUUAAAUAGAUAGUCUCAUGCAGGAAUACAGAAUCUUAUUUGACCAUGUCUUAAAGUAGUUGUCUUGUUGGCCCAUUUCCACAAACUGUUAAAUAUUUGAUUAACAAAUUUUUUUUUGAGGCUAAUACGAAGACAAACCUUCUGAAAAUAGAGCCAUUUGCAUUUUGACCCCCCGGGAUAGAAAAACAUACAUCUAAACCCAAUAAAUGUUUAGACUAUUAUCACUUAACCUCCUUUUGUCACAUUUUACAUUGAAGAAUUGUCAAAUAUUGAAGAAUUGUCAAAAAAUCAUAGAAUGGUUUCGAGGUUCAUAUUUUAAGGCUACAGAGCAGUACGUGAAUGAAAAAUGUGACAGGAAGGGGGUUGAAGUGCUAAAGGUCUAAAUGUUACAUUGCUGAAUGUUGGUUUUUUAUAUUUCAGAAGAGAAACUGUAAUGACGCUAUUUGCAGGGGUUUUCUACAAUUUAACCUUUUCUCAUUUAACACAAUGUUUUCGUUGCUGAUUACAUUUGUGAUGUUGAAUGCCCCGGAUUAUUCUUUUGUUCCUUGUCUUAUGAGCUUGUAUGCGUAUGCCUAUUAGGUCCUAAUGACAGGUGAAAAGAAUGAGGAGUCUGUCCAAGGAAGUGAUAUGCUGUUGUCGUCUGCGAUCAGCAACGAUAUGCUACUAGAUGUAUCAAGGUCACCUUUGUCUGAUUUUCAUUAUCAAGAAAGGUAUCACCAGGGAAAGUUAGUGAAGGUACAGACAUCUCCUUCCAAAUUAGAUAACCGAGGCUUAUUGAUCUCACUAAAUACCUGUAGAACUUAUAUCUGAUGUUGCAUUGUGGAUGCAUGGUAUUUGGACAUUUCUCAGUAGUGGCUUUAGCCUAUCACCACUUAGUUUAGAUCAAUGUUUAAUAUUUCCAUUUCCGGUCCAUUUUUUUCAAUAUCAUCCAUAUAGGGGGGUCCAACUUAUUAUUGAUAUAUGUUAUUAAUUAAUCGUAAAUCAUGUGGCCUCACUCCAGCAAACUUGAAUGUUACUCAUGCAUUUCAUAAAAUUAAGCUGCUCUGCUCUUAAUAAACAUUCCGCUUUGACUGAUUUCAUCGACUCUUUCUGUAUGGUUCAGGGAUAUCAGAGCCUUCUUGAUUUCAUCAUGAUUUCAAAGAUGGUAAGUAGUAACUUGGAUUCAGAGGAAGGACCAAACCAGCUGCUGCUAUCUAACCAUGCAUGCCAUUGCAGGCAAGAGCUUGAAUCUUCUUUAAGCUUUCCUUUUCCUUUUUCUGUUUUGGCUAGAAUGUAUGCUUACCCCGUAACUAUAUAGAUGACUACUGUUUGAUUUAGGCAGAUUCUGUUUUAUUUAAAUUUUCAGUCAACUAAGUACUCUCCCAUCCCAAAGAAUUGGUACGGAGUCAGUUAUAUUCAAAUGGACUCAGACUAAAGUCUACUACUACUAUAGUCGUGGGGUUCAAUCCAAAAGAUAUAGAACUAGACCCAGGACCUUUUCCAAAUCACUCUCUUUUCCUUUUUUUCUUUUUUUUCUCUCAUUUUUGAAGCUUCAAGGGCCUUGUAUUUUUUUUUUUUUUUAAUGUUUUAUUCUUCUCUCAGUAUCAGCAGGACUAGCCCAAUUUGGUGGCUAAUGGAUGGACCUCGAACAAUUUAUCAUGAAUUUUCAAGUUCUUUUUGCGAGAUUGAUCUGCAGUUGACGAUCCACAACUGUUCUAAUAGUCUCGUCUCUAUCCGAGUUGCAACAUUUGACAGCAUGCUAGAGACGACCCAAUCCAGUGAUGCAGUUCAUCUCUCUGAUAAUUCUAACGAUCAGGGAGGAUGGUAUGAUGUUUCUUUAACAAAUGACAUUAAGCUUAUUUCUAAUGUCCAAGGGAGCCGUUCUCAAAAGCGAUUAAGUGAAAGCACUCCCCCUUUUGUUUGGAGCGCAUUAAGUUCCACUCAACUUGCUAUGGAGCCAGCAUCUACAGCCAAACUACCUCUCAAAAUCUUUGUAUUCUCACCUGGAACAUAUAAUUUAUCAAAUUAUGAAUUGCAUUGGAAAAUACAACCACAGGGGGAAGGAAUAACUGAUGAAGUGAAAAAUAAGUCGUCUUCAGGCUUGGGACAAGGGCACCCAUUUUAUCUUACUGUUCUGCAGGCUCCUUAAUGAGACCCUAAAGCUGCUUCAGAUCUUACUUCAAAAUUUUUUCAUAUGGGAGGUUUUGUCUUAUGUGAUUGUUGUAUAUUAUGGGCAAAUAUGACAGGAAAGAGAAAUAUAUCUUCAGCUAUUGGCGAAAUUUUGCUCCCAGGUACAGGUACCAUUAGCUCAGCUUCUUGUGUUAUUUUCAAAGUUAACACCUUGUUUAAUCAGGCAUUAGCUAUUGGUUCAACUAUACUUUAGGUCCCUUUUUUUUUUUUGGUCCGGGGCUCAAUGGGACAGGACUUUUAUUCCGUGUUUGUGCUGAAAAAUAGCCAUAUAACAAUCCACUGUUUAUGUUCUGUAUCUAGCGAUCAUUCCAUCUAAAUUUUUUUUCACAGAAAUCGUGAUAUGUUACCUUCAUUGAAUCAUUGAUCAACUGUGUAGUGCUCACAAAACUGCUAAUGUAAGCGUUAUUGGUGAAGGAUUAAAUUUAUUUGGCCAUUUUUUCUACUUGUGCUGUUGUCUUAUUGACUCAGACGCCGUUGAUGUCGAUUUCAACUGAAUUGUGCAGAUUUGAUCCAGGUAAAGCCUGAAAUGUCAACUGCUUGAUCGAUUAUAUAAUAGUGCAUUCAUUCUAGUUAUAUAUUUUCCUGCUCCAUGCCAAAUGCCUCUAUUGUCAUCCCAUAGUAAGGACAUCAAUUCUGUGGGUUGGGUUCGCAAUCUUACUUGUUGCAAAGGUUGUAGAUUUCCUUUCUCUCAUUGAACGGAUUGAGGGUUUGCCAGUCGCAAAUCCUUGCUGGGGUGAAGAAAUUAAGCAUGUAAGAUCUAUAGCUUGCUUCACUGGGAUGACACUAUUUGCUUGGAUCGUCACCACUCUGGCGAAGCGGAAUUUCUUCAGCACUUCUUGCAUUCUCUGACAGUGCUAAUGACACACUAGAAAAGGCCUCAACUAUAACCAAGAUGCUCUUCAUCAAUCCUCGUACAUCAACUCAAAACUCACAUUGUACAUAAACAGCACCACAGAAAUUAAGAGUUGAUAUAUGCGCUACAACAACAAGACAUUUCUAUUAUACAGAGACUUGCACCCCAGGACCGUUGUGGGAACUCGUAAUAUUUCACCAACACUAGUUACGUCCCCUCGACAGAAAAAUCUAGAUGGCACGAAAGAAUACCCGACUAGCAAUAGAAAAGGCCCUAUCCGCACAAUAUCCAAUUGGGUAAACACAGAAAGACAACAAGCAUAUGCUCAACCUAUCUAACCCAGCAGCUGAAUAUACAAAGAGGCGAAGACUCAGCAGGAACUGAGGCAAACUCCUGAUCAAUGUUUCAGAGGAUUUCUCAAUGCAUUGAAGCAAUUAUAGAUAACGCGAGAGAUUGGUAAGUCGUGUGUUGAUCAGAGUUUUUUCUGCUUCGAAUUUCAUCCUUUCCUGUGAAAAGCUGCUUGUCCUCGCCGAACCCCAUCAGGCACUCGAAUUCUUCAGCUCAUUGAUCUCGCCACGAUCCGUCGUAUAUUAGAGGAUUAAAUUUAAUGCCAUAUAUUCCAACCAGGAGCCUUGAAAAUAACGGAAUAUAUAAACAUAUGAGAAAAACUAUUAUAUCCAGGCAAGAGAACCUCGAUCAUUAGCUACUUGUGGGCGGCCCCUCGUGGGGGUUGGCGGUCUGUUGGCAUUAAGCUCCUGAGAUCACAAAUAAAGAUUGAAUAGAAGAAAAUCAUAUUGAGAAUCCAAAAUGCAAUGCUAAUAGAAAAAAAUUGGUUUUCUUCCACUUGAAUAUAAGAUACUACUAACCUAAAUUCAAUAUAGACAUAAUACUUAAACCUUACUAUAUGUAACUAUUUAAUUUAUACGGGCACUAUAUGUAUGUUCUCAUAAACGAUUGAAGAAUAGCAUCUGCAUUUUAUUUUAGUAAACAUCCGUGUUUAGUUAAGAAGCUAUUGCACCUGCAUCCAUGUAUCCUCAAUUUGACGCUCUGGAGAGGUUUCGGGUGAAGUAAUUGCAGGGGGUAAAGGAUGGAUAAGUUUGGGAACAACCACAAGGUCUCUCCCCAAAACUAGAAUAGCUCCUGCAUUGUUUGCAGUACCUACACACAUUAAAUUAAAUAUACAAAAGAUUGGUGAACAAAAAAGUCAACCAAAAAACAGAAAGAUAAUUUGCUAAGCACUUUGAACAAAAAAAAAAACCUACCACAAUAAUUAGUAGCAGAGAAGAGAGUGAUCAGAUGACCUUGAGCGAAUCGCUCAAAGCCAUCCAUCACACAUUCAUGGGCUCGUACUAUUAGCUGUAGGUCAUUAUUAUUACAAAAUUCCAUAACACGAUCGGGCUGUAGAAAAGUAAAGAGUUUUUAGAAAACAGGUAAGUUGUAUCAUAGAAGUACAACCUGCAAACCAAAUCAAGAAAGAAGACUGACCCCAAAUGUUACCAAGCCCGGACCCCUAGCAUUUGGUCUUAACCCUUCAACACUGUCAUUUUCUGUUGGAUCAGACCUGUGAAGAACGCCAAAAAAAAAAAAAAAGAACAUUGUGCUCCUGAAUUGAAAAGCAAAAGACUAAUGAUGGAAGUGGUAAGAUCGUUUUAAGUAGGGUCUAUGGUUUGAAUUCCUGACCAUAAAAGGUCCAUCAGAACAAUGGAUCCUGCUUCCAUUGUAAUUGGUCUUUGAAGGUUUUCGAUCUGCUCAAUAUGAUUGAUAGAUCGACCGAUGCCACCAUGCAUGCAGAUUAUUUUCUUUUCUAUUAAUGCAGCCAAAGGAAGCCAAUUGAAGAGUCGAUUUAUGCGGUGCCAAGUCCAGAUACCAUCUCGCUCUCCCUGUUCAAACACAGAAUGUAAAAUAUGCGACUUGUUUACACACAAAAACAACAAAAAAGAUAAGAGACUAUAUGAUCACCAUCCGCUCAAUGCACUCAAUCCGGAAGCCAAACAAAGCAUUGAUAUCUGCAGCUUCAUGGUUUCCACGUAUUAAAUGUACAUUAUUAGGAUAUUCAACCUGCAAUAUAACCCCGAUUAUAUGGCUUGGUAAAUUAGAGAUCUAAUUUUCUGUCUAUCAACUUAGAAAUCCCUGCAAGAGUACCUUCAGUGCAAGAAGAAGAGUAAUUGUUUCCAAACUGUGUUGGCCACGAUCAACAUAAUCUCCCAAGAAUAGAUAAUCGAUAUAACUGAAAACAUUAGAGCAAAAUUACUAAACUAGCAAUAAAACUCGGUGAUUAGGAAGUAAUUUAAAAAAAGAGAGCUAUCAUGUAAACUAAUUCCAUUUUCUAGGUAUGAAACUACUAGCCUCACAUUUGAUUUCUUAUUCAAGCAUUUAAAAUUCUUUGGUUCAUGUCAGAAAGCAUGCAUUAGAACUUAAAGACGAGAAGACAGUAUUGUUUCAAAAUUCAACAGGUGAUUUCCAGUUCAACUAAAAUAUACAUGAAUACUUGAAGCUAAUAAAAUCUUUCAAAUAGUUCUUCCGACAUACAAAAUAAACCAAGUGCAUUACUUCCACAAAUAGUAAGAGCAGACUUACGCAAUGUCCCCAGCUGUUGAAGGAGCACCAUACUCAUCAAACAAGCGCAUGAGAUCGCCAAACUGACCAUGGAGAUCACCGAAGAUCUUAAUGGGGGCUUUGAGUUGAAGAACACUUGGCUCGCUUGAAAAUAUUCUUUCAGCACUGUCGCAGAGAUCCGCAAUCUCAUUGCAAUCCAGGAAGAACUGCCUGCGCACGGGGGGCUUCCAUCCACGGGGUUUUAAAAGAUGUGCAAUUACCUGGACUUAGCAUCACAUAUAUCAGAAGUAUGCAAAACAAAUACUUAGUAGUAAAAACUUCAGGUGCUUGUACUUCAUAAUGGCAAUCUUAAACUUUCUAUGUUUCUAAAUAUAAAUUUGUUUCUCUAAAACUGAACUAAAAAUAGAACUAGCAUUAAUUUUUCGAAUCUUUCAAUCUUCCCUGGAAAAGCCAAGACAUGCAAGCUUUGUCAAAUGCAAAAUGAAUGCUUUUUUUACUAUAGCAAUUAAUUCUACCUUUUUAGGCACGGUAUUCAUAGACAUUUGCCUGUCUAGUAACUUUCUGGCUGCUGAUGCACUCUCAGGAGUGCCAUAACUGACCCUUCUUCCUUCAUUUUCAAACUGAUCGAUCGAGAGCUGCCGAACCAUACCACCCAAAGCACCCCCAGUCUCUGCAGCUACAACUACCUGCAUAGUAAAAGUUGUGUUAUUCAAGGUCAAUGGGCUUAGACCACAAAUUUUUCUCGAGGUUUAAGCAGUGGGAUUAAACAAGGUUUGAAGUACCGCUGCCUGGGAAUGUCAUGUUGAACGGUGGCAAUAUGUGGUAUGGCACACGCAAUGUGCCACAGGAAGAACUUUUGAGUGUUUUUAUUUUUUCCUUUAAUCUUGAAAGUCUUUCUUACCAACUUGUAAACAUAAAAUUACAAUUUGGGAGCAUCCCAAUCUCAUUAAAUAGAAGAAAAUAGGGAAAACAGAAAUGACAUUUCAACUUGUGCUAAGGGAAUCAGGGUACUCCUUUGUACAUGCUGAUCAGUGCAUAACAAUCGUGCACAGUUGGCACAUGAAUCCUUGGGAUUAAGCAUAUGAUAGUAUCAACAGAACAAUAUUGACCAAUAAAUAGGUUUUUCAUCAUCUCAUAAGAGACAAUCCCAACAACAGCAGAACAUAAAUUGACAAGGUUCUACUGACCGCUCUGUGGUGAAGCCGAACGCCAGGUGGUGUGGCACUAUUUGAAAGUGUAUUUGAAAGUGAAGGGUCUGGCACUUUAAUCAGGCUUGAGAUUUGUUUUCCACUCGGUGUGGCAUCAGAACUAUGAUCUCUCUCGGGUGUUUGUUCCACUUCACCGUUGAUUUGCCGAGCCUUUGCAGCAGCUAAAGUAGCACUAAUUGCCUCAGCUUCUGCAGCUGAGGCUUCAACAAGAUAUUCCACGCCUUUGCUCACUCUCCUGUACAAAGAUAACACCUAAGUAACAUAGUCAACAAUUCACAUGAUAGCUUACAUUAGAGAAGAAGACCUAUUCAUCUGUUAGUUACAGACAUCCUCCGCGUGAGUUCUGAAUUGAGGAUAUAAUAUAUACAGCAGAAAAGAGUAGUUCCUUGCAAAAGAUACCAUCAAGUUGGGAGUCACCCAAUACAUGAAGUUGGUUUCCUAUUAGAAAAUAUAUUUUUUUUAAUCUGAAGAGGGGCAUUUCUAUCAGUACAAGCAUAUAGAUGAAAGAAAUCAACUUUCCAAAGGAAUAUAUGGAUACUCAGAUUUUGCAGGAAUAUAAUUCAAAAUAAUAGUUUUUCAUAUCAUCUACGUUGGGUUACCUUUGUCCUUGGAGCAUGGCAUUUUCAGUGCUUAUAUCAGCAUACAUAUCUCCAUUAACAGGAGGAGCAACUGGAGUUCCAAGCACAACAGCACUGCCGGGAACGGCUUCAGGACCGGUUUGUCCUUGUCUUUCAUCAGCAUAAGUACUUCUUGCUGGUGAUCUUCCUACCUGUACAUUGGCGGCUGCAGCAGCUGCAGCAGCAUGGGACGCUGCACUUGUGGUUUCAGCAGCAGCCAGAUCCUCAGCAACAAGAAGAUCAUCAAGAAGCACACCUGGUACAGUAUGAUAAACAAACACAGUAUUAGUGUGUAAUAUAGAUAUCACUGAAGCCGAAGCAGCGAGAUAUGGAAAACAUCUGCAGCCCAGAUAUUAAAUCUGCAGCUGUACAAUAGUAGCAGAAAACAGUAUAUGGACAUGAAAUUCCAAGGAUCAAAGAGGAUAUAUGUAAACCCAUUCAUUGUUAAUAUAUGGGUAAAAUUGUAGUCCAAAAAAGAUAGAACACAAAGUCAGAAUCUAGAAAUGAUCACCUUAGAAAAAAAGAUAUGGACACGGGCCAUUUACAGACAAGUCUAUAUAGAAAAAAUCAAUUAAAAUCCUUACCACCACGUAAGCCUCCAUAAAUGUAAAUCUGAUCACCAACUGCAGCAGCUGCAUGUCUACAGCGUCGCGUUAGCUCAACUGAAGCAUCUCCACCAGCUGCAUCAGCACUAUACCGGCCUGUUCUGGGACUCGUAACAACUGAUUUUGUAUCACACCAUACCCCCGCAGCAGUAUCCAGAACUACGAAGAAAGGAGAAAUAAACACAUAAAUCUUUGCAAAGAAAAGAGAGGAUUAAACGACUCAUAACUAAAAAUUCAUGUUCUUCAAUUUUGAUUUGCAGGUGCUAAGUCGAUUAGCUACUGUAAUGAUGGAUAGCUUAGGACAUAUGACAACAUGUUAACUAAAGCAAUAAGAACUAUCUUUAACUAUAUACUGUGUAAGGCAUCACGUGGAAGGGCGACAUGACAGCUCACACCACCCACUUUGGCAGAUUAACAAACUUUUAUAUAUUAACUAAAAAAUUAUUCAAUAGAAUGCAUGGAUGCUUACAAAAACUAUGUGUCGAUGAUGACAAAACUGACUGGUACCAACACCAUAGCGACAUCUUUGAAAACAACUGGCAUAUUAAAAGCAAGGUUUUAAGUGCCCGUCGGCACGAGCCAUAUCCACCAUGCCGUAUCGUGCCAACAAGAUACCGACACGAUACAGACCCCGUGCUGAUGGCACAACUCAAAACCGUCUAUUCUUUAAAUUAGUAAAUAAUUUCCUCAAUAAAGUUCAAAAGAUGUAAUAAAAAGACAUAAUAAAUAGUUAGAAUAUUUUAUUGCUAAAGAAAAUAAAUAUUUCAUGCUAUUAUGUGUCAGCACACAAGAAUUUUUUUGACCGGCACGUAUUGGCACCGUUCGGCACGCACCGUGCUGUACCAUGCCGGCAAGUUUCCGGCAUGAUCCUGUGCCACGGCACUUAAAUCCUUGAUUUAAAGUAAAAGGAAUCUAGUAGACUGUUGCUGUAUAAACAAUAUUUGUACUGUGAUUGGGCCAUUGAAAAGGGAAGCAUUAUUAUCGUACCUGCACAAAAUGUAUUUAUCUUUUAUAUCUUUUUCUGCACUGCAAUCACUUUUGUACUAUAUUGAAGAGAAAAUUUAUAGCAUUCUCUCUUGACAGAUCUAAAAUCCAUUUAGGUCAAAAUGAUAAUAGAAGCUGAUGAGCAUCAGAAAUAGCAUACUGCAUGAAUUCACUUUGCUGAUUGCCUUAACACAGGGAUCUUCGGCUCUAACAGGCCUUCUAAUCAUUUGAAAAGAUUUAACAAAAUUUACCGCUGCAAUAUCGUGUCCUCUAUUGAAAUGUAUCUUUUUGAUAUUAAAAAUUCAAUCUUAAGGGUCUAAAAUAGUCAAUAGCUAUGCCAAAUGACUGAAAUUAGUUAAUACAUGCUAUACUAUGUAACGGCUUAUAAGUACUUUCUACAGCAAAAAUUAAAGAAAUAACUACCUGCAACGCUAGAAGAAUCUUCUACCAUGCGGCCCCCUCCAAGAGCCCCUCCAGAUACAUGAAGUCGUGCAUUGACAAAAACCUGAAAGAAUAAUAUAAGAAAAUCAGUGAUAUUUAUACGACAGAAGUAACAACACUAAGAAGUUAAAUUAGCUCACCGCUGCAUGUUGGUAUCUUGGAGAUGGAGAGACACCAGGAGCAAUAGCCCACUCCCAACGCCCAUCCCUAUGUUUUGCAAGACCAUAUGCACUUGACAGGGGCUACAAGUAUAAAAGAUAACAAAUAAUAGCAAAUCAUUCAUUAAUAUUGAUUUAAACGACAUUACCUGCCAAAGUUAUAUAUGCGCCUAAUUACAUUCUAAUGCGGACAAAGAAUACUAUGCCUACUACAGCAAGUAAUAAACAUAGUUCCUAAUAAUGUGGCAAGAAGCAAAGCAUCUUCAGAUAUAACAUGAAUCGCCUAAUAAUAUGAUGAGAAAAGGAACAUGUCCAACUGCAACAUAAAUGAUUGAUUUUAGAAAUAUUGUAAAAGCACAGCAUUAUUGCAUUUGCUUUUAGCCAACAAAUAUAAUAUAGUAAAAUUAGUUAUUGUCAUGAGGCUUAAGAAAGCUAACAUUCAAAAAAGGUGAAAAGGCAUUAUCCAAGAAACUUGUUAGAUAAAAUAACACGAAGGUAAAGCUCCAAACAUAUUAUUCAAAUUUCAUGUAUGCAAUUAACACUUACAGCAAACAAUAAACCUAUUAUCUGGAGAGAGUCGACAACAUAUUUGGAAGAAAAUCAUGCUUUAUACAAAAUCUUUUGACUCACCACACUGUUUGCAUCCCUCCCGCCACAAAGCAAAAGAAGACCAUCAGAACGUGCACUUGCAGUUGCAUACCUAAACAAACAUAAAUAGAUGUAAGAGUCAAGAAUGGACAAUUUGACAAUUAAAAGAACAACAAUGGCAAAAUUAAAUAACAAAGAUAACGAAAAUCUUGAGGGAUAAAGAAUAUUUUCGUCAUUUUCUUUAUCAAGAAGCUUACAUAAAACACAACAUUCAACUCAGUGCUCAUGCAAAUUAUGGGCAAUGUCAUAAAUGACAUGCACAUGGUAGUGCGCAUGCAAACACAUAUAAAACAACCACGAUAGUUUGUCAGCUUAUCUCACAAAAUCAUAUCAGAUGGCGAACUGGUACAAGGUGCAAAAUCAAUGUUGUAUCCAGGCCAGGUUGAGAUCAAAUUUCUUUCAGUACAAACUAGGUAGCUACACUAAGGAGAAUGUUGAUAGAACUUCAUAUAUUUUAACUUAUCAAGGCAGAACAAAGCUAAAAUUGAUCAUAACUAUUUCACAGAUGAUAUAACUAUGAAGCGCUAGUCAUACCUCACAUAGAGGCAAAGUUGCCCACAGGCAUGUAAAAGGCGACCUUCUGUACAAUUUGGCAUGCUCAAGCAUGAGCAAUAACACAUAUGCUAAGAAAGUUAACUUGUGCAGUACCAUAUAUGCAAAGAAGGUUCAAGCACUCAGAAAAAGAACAGUGGACAAGAGGGUUGAGCAAACUGUCAGACUAUAGGGAAAUCAAGAAUGCUUCUACAAGGAAGCACUAAGAAUGCUUACAGCGAAAAAGAGGGUCAAGCAAUAACACAUAUGCUACACUAAGAAUGCUUUAGGCCCUAGCAUAUGACUUAAGCCUACAACUAUAUAAUAAAGACUCUUGAACCUUCACCAAUAAUUUAAAUAUGAACUUCAGAGUUGUUUAGAAUAACGACCACAGGAAACUGAAACAGAACUAAAAGUUUGGCAUAAAAACUCUACAACGGAAUAAGAAAGAGUUAAUUGCUUUCUACUGCAGAAUUCUGCAGGAUUACAAGAAAUAUAUCAGAAAAGAAGAUACAAAAAGAAAUAGAAAGGAAAGGAAAGGAAAGGAAAGAUAUUUGAAACAUGCAGUGUUGUACGAUAAAGGCACAACAUUCAGUUUUACUCCAGUUUCAAAACUCAAGUCUCCAGAAAUGGAAUCCCCAAAAUUCUUUUCUAAAUAGUUACGUAAGAUACAAACACAAAUUUAUACUCAUUAUAUCAGAUUUUUUUAGCUUUUGAAUCAGGCAUCUAAACUACCAAAAUUAACUCCCAGUCUCAUCAAAUUUCAUCAUUCAACUGCAUAAAAAGUAGAAAGAAACAACUGAGGAGGAAAAAAAAAAUAAAGACUCAUUCACUUGAAAAAUAUUAAAAAGAAAAACAGAAGUUUUGAACACGUACAAUCAGCAUCCCCCCUAUUAUUGGUGCUGAAAAAGACAUCGACAACUCAGCUAUUGCAGCAUGAUCAGCAUGGUGAUCCUAGAGAUCAUGAUCGUUAAAACCCAUUUUUUUCCUUGGAUGUAAGCAUCAAGAUAUUGAAGACUAGUCACUAAGAGGAAUGAACAGACAAAAACAAGUUUUCCCACUAUAACUAUUAAUAGGCUACAAUAAAUAUGGAUUACAACUUACAAGAAGGCAUUGUUGUAAACAAGGCCCCCUGCUACUGUAGGGUCUAGGAGUACAAAAUCUGCCAGCUUAUCCUACUUACAAGGAAGAUUGCUUUCAUGGUUAAUCUGCAAGACCAUAGAGCAUCAAGACAACCUUAACCUCACACCAAAAGGAACACUCGCUAAAUAUGGCUCAAGUUGUAAAACAUAAUAUAAAGCUUCACAUAUGAGUGUAUUGAGUGAACAGGUGAAAUUUGAGUUUCAUUAUGUCAAUAUCUAAUAAGUUCUACACAGUCACGAAGAGAGAUGGCACAUGAUUUGUCUAAAGCGAAAUGCACUCCUUUAAGUAACGAGGAGCAAUAUGUACAGAAAGAAAACUAAUGUCGUCAGACAAAUUCUACAUUCCAACUAAUGUACUCACAUGCAUGGAGGUGGGCCUUCGCCUUCCGGUUCUAGCUUCCGCCACUCGUAAGGUUUAGCAGCAGUGUCAAGUGCCCAAACAUCAGCUAAAGGACGCUUACCUAAGAACAUAGUAAAGAACAAUAAACUAACUAACAUUAAGAGGAAAUACGGGAAACACAAGAAAAAAAAAAAGUUUGUAUGGCACAUUGGAGAACGCUCUGAUAUCUACAGCGUACAAUUGCCUACCAUCAUUCCCACCAAUAGCCAAUAGAAACCUUUGCCCAACUAAAGCCAUCACAUGCCCGUAUCGCGGACCAGGACCUGGUCCUUGUACAACAACCCUGCAUCCGCUCGUAUCAAGUAUCAGCAAAGACACAUUAAAUCAGCAUGUUUCCAAAACAUUAACAUCAAUAAUCACCUAUGCCACCGUGGCCGUUGUUGCGUUAGAUCCAGAACAUGAAGAUCCUCCGCAGAUAAACCAGCAGGGCCAAUACCACCCUGGAUAACAAAUUAACAACAGGAAAACAGGAUAAACUUCAGAUGGAAGACCAUCUUCGAAUUCUUUUCAAUCAAGAAGAUUUACUAAUGAAUCAAAUAUAUUAUUAAAAUCUAACUGAAAAGGUGGAUUCAAAGUACCUGAAUGACUACCAUAGUACCAACAGCAGUUGCAACAUGUGCGGCUCUUGGUGACGGUGGCUCUCCAAGUGGAGUGAGCCUGAAAAGAAGCAUAUUUCCCACAUAAGUUCGGCGCCAUUCGUCAUAAACCGACAUAUACCAACUUCAAUUGCUUAAUGAGAUGAGAGUUACAAACUUUCAAAUAAUCUUACCUCGUCCAUUUACCAGCCAACACAUCAUAACAGUGGACAUCAUUAGUUGCACCCGCUAAACCUACAACCCAAGGAGAAAAUAAUAGUUGAAAGCAAUAACAAUCCCAAAUUCAGAGGUCCAGAACACAACAAGAACAAAAAUCUAAAUUACAUUAACGAGACCACAUAUAAGCUCACAUUUCCAGAUUGCAAAUUCGAGAUAACUACAUAGAGAAUGUUACCAAGGUUUCAACUUGAAAACAAGUCAGAGCUACUACAACCUUCUCCUCGCAAAAUUUAGGGUCUCAGGGAAGAGAUAACAACUGGGAUCAAGAAAAAGAGGUUUUGAUAAAUAGAAAGAACGGGAGAGAAGAAGAGAAGCAUACGGAUGCCCGCGCUACCGGCGGAGGAUGGCGGGGCAGCGGAAUUGCCCUCGAGGGCGGUGGCGCCACCGAAGAGGAUGAGGCGCGGCCCGACGUAGCCCGGCGUGCCCUCCUCCCCCACGGGCGGCACCGCCGUGAGCGUGUGCCCGCACCGGCACCCGGGCCCGUCCUCCUUCUUCUCUAUGAACGCGUUCACCACCUUGUAGGUCGGGGCCGGCCUCGGCCCGGCCACGACCGGCUGCUGCUGCUGCUGCUGCGGCGGCUGCGGCGGCGGCGCCCCGGACGGCGCCGCCGCGGGCGACGUCGACGGGUCCUCGUGGUGGUGGUUCGCGGCUGCGGCGGCGGAGGCCGGAUCGUGGUCGGACUCGGUCGUCAUCGCCGCGUCCACGUCCAUCCUAAGCUGCGGCGGCGGAGAUCGGGGGCGGGGGAUGCCCUAGGAAGCAGCGGAAGCAGGGGGAGCAUUCCUCGGGGGCGGCGACGAGGGCCUCAUCAAACGGAACCCUAACCGCGCGAUUCGCGACGCAAUUCACCUCCUCCGCCACCGAAAUCGACCGAAACCCCAACCCCCGCCCCGCCCCGCACCACGACGGAUCGUCGGAGGAGGAGGAAGACGAAGUGACGAUGAGAGCGAACGCUCCAAGGGGGAUCGCGCAAUCACCUUCGAUCUCUCCUCGAUUUCUCUCUCCCCCCGCAGCUCCGUGAACGAAAUGGGAGAGAAAAAAGAAUAUCGAACGGGAGGAAGAUAUAUAAAUUAAUUAAUUAAUUAAAGAAAUUAAAAAGAGUAGAGAGAGAGAGAGAGAGAGAGAGAGAGAGAUUUUUUUUUUUUUUGGGUGGGUUCGCAAUAUCUAUCUUGUGUUAUGUUAUGAGGCUUUCAACGCGCUUCGCUUCCUCGAAGAAGCGGCCGAGGAAUAAUCCCUAAAAUUUACAAAGAAACCCCCCACAACUUUGAAAUAAAUAAAUUUAGUUAAAAAAUUUAAAAAUUAUAGAGAAUUCAUUGAUAUUUUUCAUCGAAUUUAACGAUUUUAAUUUAAUAAUAAUUAAUAGCUCGAUACCAAAUUUACCAGAAUUUUCGAACUCGACAAGCAAAGGUAAUUUUUGAAGUAUUAAUUAAGAAAAGUAAAAUUAAGGGGCCAAUUUCUAAAUAUCAUAUAGUUGGGGCGGUGUCGGUAAAUUUUGGCCAAAAUCGACAAUCUGAUAGGGAGAGAGCAUGUUUGGUGGUGGGGAGGCGCCGUAUCCGUCCGUUGACAAGAACGGACGGUCGUGAUUGUAUGUGAUUUUGGAAAGUGGGGGAUUUUUUUUGGGGAUUCGUGUCACCGGGGAAGGGGAGUCUAGCUGGCACUGGCGUAACGGGGCGUGGGCCCCACCCGUGGGAGGCAACCGGGUUACCGCCUACAGCCGGUCACCCCCUCAAGUAUUUUUUUUUAUUAUUUAAGAUCUUCCUUAGCUUUCAAGUUUUUGAAAUUAAGCUAUUUUAGUUAAAAAAGAAUUUAAUAAUUAUUAAUAAAUAAAAUUAGAUCAAAUAGCAGUUCCUAAUUAAGAAAGCUAUUAAAAUUGAUCAAAUUUUUUAUUUCGCUAUUGAGGAGUUCAUUAAAAAAAGGGCAAAUUUCAAAUAUCAUUCCUGUAGUUUUGCAUUUUUUUUAUUUUAGUACCCUAUGGUUUAAAGUAUAUCAAUUUUGUACUCUAUGAUUUUAUUUUUCUCUUUUCGUGAGCUCCUCUAUUAAUAUUUUAUUAAAUUAUAUACAAAAAACUUCGGAUACCCCACCUAGGUUUAUCGAAUAUCCACUUUAAUAUCUUUUAAUUUUAACUUGUCACUGAUUUAACAAAAGAAAAAAUUAGUGGAAGGGAUAAUAAAAAAAAGAUGAAAUUACGGAAUACUAAAUCGAUACACUUUGAACCAUAGGAUACCAAGUGACAAAGUGCGAAAUCAUAUGGGUGGUAUUUGAAAUUUUUCCUUAAAAAAUUGUUGAGGGGACUAGUUUAGAAUAACUAUAGUUGAGGGGACCUAUACACAUCUUUACCUUAAUAAUAAUAAUAUAUAUAUAUAUAUAUAUAUAUAUAUAUAGAGAGAGAGAGAGAGAGAGAGAGAGAGAGAGAGAGAGAGAGAGUACGACUCCCCGUGGCUUUGAAAGUACGGAGCCUCCGUAAUUGUAAGUUUGAUUUUUGAUGAUGGAACAUCCAAUUUGACGAUCGGCUCCCGUUAGGCAUAAAUCUAUCAUUGCGGAACUAUUAGAACCAAAUUAUUAUACAUUUUUCGACAUCAAUUUAUACGCGAGGCGAUCACAAGGUAAAAAAUGACUAUUUAAUGGCCGAAUGUGCAAUGUCGUUUAAUUCAACGGUGUAAAAGUACCAAAUUAUAAGUGAACUUAAUAGUAAAAUUCUAUUCUUAACAUCAAGGCGCGUUUGUUCGCAUUAUAAAGAUUACUAAGAAUAAAAGAUAUCCGAGAAAAUCUUAUUACUAUCAUCUAUUACUAAGAAAGUGAAAUUCCUGUGUUUGGUUCACACAGUAAUAUUAAUGUAGGGCACAUUGUUAUUUAAUAUUACAAAAAAUAUACAAAUUAAUAAUUUAUUUAUUAUUUAAUUUAUAAUUUACGCAAAGUUCAACAUCUUUUAGAAAACAAGGGACGAGCGGAGUAAUAAGUUAGAGAAGAGAGGUCCAUAAUUAAAAAAUAGAAAGAAAAAUAUUAGUGUCGACCAAAUUUAGAGGGAAUGGAGAGUUGAAAUUUUAGAAAGAGAGAGAGAGAGUGAAAGGCUUAGUUUAGAGAGAGACAAAAAAAGUUGAAUUUUAGAGAAAAAAUAAGUUAGAGAAGAAUAAAAGUUAGACGUGAAAGAAAAAUAAUAUCAAUAGAUUUACCGACGGUGUAAGAAAAGAAAGAGAUAGACAUAUUUAUAUAUCCCAAUACCUUAAAUAAUGAGAUACCCCCCCCUCAAAGGAAUGAGAUAUUAGUACUUUUGGCAUAAAUCUUAUUCGCCAGUGAACUACAAUAUUACCAACUAAAGAUUAUCUUAGUGCGUUAGCCAAACCCCGUCUAUUUUUUUAUCCCAAUUGGAUUACUAGGAACUUUAAAAGAUAUGUGCGAACGCAAAAGCACCCAAGAGUAAGAACAAUAUUCGAUUUGAAAUUGAGUCAUUAUCAUUAUUUUUAUGAUAUUUUUAUUUUCGCGCCGUUCAUUGUUGAGCUACUCGUUUACUAGGCAAACGAAGUUCAAAAAAUUAUGAAAAUUUGGUUUCUACGAUAGUUUCCAAUAGCGUAGAUCAUGUCUAACGGCAAACCGAUCGCCGAACUCGGACGCUCCCACUCGAUCGAAAACAACUUACAAAGUACGGAGGCUCCCGUACUUCGAAAUGCAUUAGGACCUUAUGCUCUAUAUAUAUAUAGUAUAUAUUACAUAAUAUAUAUAUAUAUAUAUAUAGACUAGUAAGACUAGAAAACUCUGCUAAUAAAUAUCACCCAAAGUGAUACUUGUUUUUUUUAGCCCUUGGAUGGCAGAGAAUGGUUGAGAUGAUGUGGUUAGGUGUGGUGGUGGAAGUAGUUUAAUCCAAGCGACUAUUAUAAAUCAAAAGUAGAUCCAAUGGCUAAAACACACAAGUAUCACUUUGGGUGAUACUUGUAAAAGUUAUUCUAGCCCUACUCUAUAUAUAUAUAUAAUAUAUUAUAUAUAAUAUAUAUAUAUAAUAUAUAUAUAUCUGACUAGGCUGGUAUACUAUCGGUUGUACGGAGGCCUCCGUGCUACCGAGUUGUUUUCAAAGAUGCGGCUUCCAAAUCCACGAUCGGCUCCAUUAGACUUGAUCUACACUAUUAAAAAUAUUUGGAAACUAAAUUUUAUAAUUUUUCGACAUCAUUUGGUUAGUGAUCAAAAUGUCUGAAAAUUGAUAAUUUUAAUGAUAGAUGUGAUGCAUUUGUAAAUCUAAAGAUAUAAAAUAAUCCAAUCAAAUGAAAUUUUUAUAGAAAAUUCUUUUUUACUAUUUAGAGUAAGAUCAGUAUCUCCAAUCUUAAAUUCAAGUCUUCUGUCAUCAUUUUUUAUGAGAUUUUUAUUUUCAACCGUUUAUUUUUAGACUACUUGUCUGAUAGGUAAAUGAUACCGAAAAAUUAUAAAAUUUAGUUUUCAAAUAUUUUUAAUAGUGUAGAUCAAGUCUAACAGAAACGAUCGUCGAUUUGAAAGCGGCAUUAUUGAAAACAACUUGGUAGCCGAUAGUAUACCAGCCUAGCUCUAUAUAUAUCUUUUUUAUUGCAAAUAAAGGAGACUUUGCCUUGAGGUGGACCUUAGAGACUGUUUGAGUGGGGUUGAGUGACAAAGUAUUGUUUAGACCCGGUCCACCAUAUCAGUGGUGGACCCAUUUAGUUGCUUAUCAUAAAACCCAUCUUAGUUUUACUUUUAAUUCAUAAAUAUAAAUUUAAGACAAAAAAAAUGAACAUAUUUGAAAUAUGAGAAAAGAAAUGGUAAAAACAAACUGAAUCAAUCUGAGCUAAAAAAUAUUUUGAUUUUUCACAUAAGUAAUGCCAUCUUGUUGUAUCUGCUAAAGUUUUGAUCUGAAGCAUCAUGAGAACUAAUGCAUAUUAUUAAUUAAUACAUAUUAAGUUGUUACAAUAGAACAAACCAAAUUGAAUUGGAUCAAGUACACUUGGUUUAAUUCGAUUAGUGUUCCAGGUGGUUAUUUCUUGGGAAUGAGGAAACAAAUGAUGGUGAAAGAAUAGAGGGGGUGAGUCAUAGGGUGGACCAGGUCUACCAUGUCACUUAAUAAAGAGCUAUGUAGAUUAUAGGGGCAAUUUCACCACUACCCCUCUUAAAUAUCUAAAUAUCGUAAAUACCCCUAUAAAAUUGAAAAUAUCAUAUAUACCCCUUCAAAUGUAAAAAAUUAUCACAAAUAUCCUUUUUUCUAACGGACGUUAUGNAGGGACGAGGAAGGAGCGACUUCGAAGAAGACGAAGGAACGGGAGCUUCUCUCGCCUCUCUCUCUCUCUCUCUCUCUCUCUCUCUCUCUCUCUCUCUCUCUCUAUAUAUAUAUAUAUAUAUAUAUAUAUAUAUAUAUAUAUAUCGAGCUAGGCCGGUAUACUAUCGGUAGUACAGAGGCCUCCGUGCUACCAAGUUGUUUUCAAUGAUGCGGCUUCCAAAUCGACGAUCGGCUCCAUUAGACUUGAUCUACACUAUUAAAAAUAUUUGGAAACUAAAUUUCAUAAUUUUUCGACAUCAUUUGGUUAGUGAUCAAAAGGUCUGAAAAUUGACAAUUUUAAUGGUAGAUAUGAUGCAUUUGUAAAUCUAAAGGUGUAAAACAAUCCAAAUCAGAUGAAAUUUUUAUAGAAAUUUUUUUUUACUAUUUAGAGUAAGAUCAGUACCUCUGAUCUUAAAUUCAAGUCUUCUAUCAUUAUUUUUUAUGAGAUUCUUAUUUUCAACCGUUCAUUUUUAGACUACUCGUUUGAUAAUCAAAUGAUACCGAAAAAUUAUAAAAUUUAGUUUUCAAAUAUUUUUAAUAGUAUAAAUCAAGUCUAACAGAGACGAUCGUCGAUUUGAAAGCGGCAUCAUUGAAAACAACUUGAUAGCCGAUAGUAUACUAGCCUAGCUCUAUAUAUAUCUUUUU
rnacentral:lncRNA from 1 species